UUAGUUGAUAGAUUUAAGGGUACGAUUAUUAAGUUUGUGAUGCAAGAAACCUAUGAAUGCAAAUUGGUAAAGUAAAAUGCAUAAGAAAAAUAUAUACAUAAGGUGUGCGAAAAGUAAUAAAUAAAGAAAGAAAAAAAAAACACUUCUUAAAUACACUUUGAUAUGAUCGUUUUUAGAAGUUGUAGAGUUUGAAAUUUUGAGUGACUUUGGACAUUUGUCUUUGUACUUCUUCACGUUGUUUUCACAUUGGUUUUUCGAAAUAAUAAUACUUGAACUCUCGUGCUGCUGUCAAGACAUCUGAGACUCGAAUACUGAACUUCGAAGUAAUGAUAUAUUGUAUUGUGAUCAAUCAAAUCAGAAACAGUCCUCAUGAGUUUAACUCAGUUGGUAAGGACAAUGCAUAAUAUACAAGGUCCGGGAUUCAAACCUCGGCCACCACCAAAUCAAAUCAGAAACAAUCAAUCGAAAUUUGUAUGUAACAGAAUCCCUCAAAUGCAGAGAAAUAAAGUAAAGGCCGUUCUUAUGCCCUAAGAGCAUCUCCAACUUAAUACUUCCAUUGCAAUUUUAAGUCCAAUACACAUACAUGGCAAAAGUUAUCUUUAUUGUUUUCCUCCAAGUGAGCGCUUAAGAUUUAUUCAAAAUUUAUUCAAUAGUGAAUUCAAAUAAAGAUUCAUAACAGAUACAAAAAUGACUACAUGUAUAGUCACUACAACUCUGAUCCGGCCGCAAAAUACCAUCUCUUUACAUUUCAUCAAUACACACUUUGACAGAUGCCUUAAAAAGGUGGACAAGAAUUCCAUUUGAAAUUGUCUUCCAUCUUCUUUUGGAUUACGUGUUUUAAUGAAAAAGGGAAUAGGGUGGACUUAUUUUAUCAUGAAUAAUUUUGGGCCUACAAAACCUAUCAAGUUGGGUCGGACUUUAUGUCCAAUGACAUGAAAUGAGAGGCUUGUGGGUCGGAUUUUGUUGUUCUUUCUUUACAUCAACCUUUUUUUGUCGAAAUAUUGUCACUUCACAUGUCAAUGUCAUGCAUGAGUCUAGCUCUAGCCUAGAUUCUUCUCACUUUGUAACUUUGUUGUUGAAUGCUUAAUGGGACAUAAAUGUUGCUUACUUUAUGUGCAUGUUUGAUUCAUAUCCAAUCCAAAUUCACAUCAAAAUCAGAAUUGCGCUCCUAUCAACAAAUGCAUCAUGUAUAUUCCUUUUUCUUUUCUUCCCACAUGAAUAGCAAAAAUUGGCACAAGAGUUUGGAGGUAAAAAAUUCAAUCUUAGCGGACUGCACGUCAUGACCUAUCCAAACUGGGUGAACUACACUUGCCACUUGCAGUACUAACUAUAUAUUGUUAAUUGGAAUUCUUUUCAGCUUCAAAACUUUUUUUAUGAUAUGAUGAUAUACUUUAGUAUAGAUAUUUAUAGGUAUAUAUGCCUGAUAAACAAGAAUGAGGUAAAACUUGAUUUAGGUGUAGCUACCUGAAAAAAUAAUACUACAAUUUAGAUAUAAUAUUUGUGUAAACUAAACAAAUAUUUGUCUAUAGGGAAAAAAACCUAAAGAUAAAGAGCAUAAUUGGAUCCAAAUACUUUCUCAAUCUUUGGAAGAAUGAAAGAUGGACUCUAGAGUUAGUAGUGUUGGAAUUUGUGUUGGGGUCUGCUGCAAUAACUUGACCAAGAAGAUGAUGAAGAUGAACAUAAUGAAGUUCCAAAGAUUAUUGUAUAUCUUGUUUGUUGGGAAGAUGCUGCUGCACUUGAAACCUGAAAAGUUUAAUGAUUAUGCAUGUAAAACUCAAAGCAUAUGGGGUUACCACACUAACCUUUAGGUUCGAUUCGCCCCCACCAAUAACUGUAUAUUGGAUGCAAUAACGAAUGACCGGCGAAUCCCCUUCAGGAUACUAUGAGUUCCUUGACGUGUAUUGCACAACCACACCAAAUGUAUCUCCUAACAGUAUUUUACAAAUUUAUGGUUCCAACAAUUCACUCAUGCAUUAGAGAAUUGAUGGAUGAUUUAGAGUAAGAGAAUGGUGAAGAAUUAUGUAGUAAUGUAACAAAAUUCUGUCCAAAAUUGUGUGUUGUUGUGUGUCCAACUAAUGCCCAACUGUCAAUCAUUUAUAGUGCAUUAUAUGACUCUUCACAUGAGAGAAAACACCCCUUUGACUUGAAUCAAUGUUAUGGUUCAUUAAGCCACCAUUUGCCAAAGGUUAUGAUCAUAUACACUUGAAUCAAUGUUAUGGUUCAUUAAGCACCUAUUUGCUAAAAGUUCCAAUGUAUAUGAAAGAUUCUCAUGAAGAGUUACAACUUUUGGUCAAGAGUAACAACUUUUGGUUCUAAAGUGAUUCCAUUAUUUUGGAAAUCACCAACAAGUAGUGUACUAGCUAAACUAGUAGUUUAGUUUUAUAGAUAGAUAACCCACUAAGGUUGAUUUGAUGAUAUUGACUUAGAACCUGGGAGUAUACUCCUUCUUAUGAUCUCAUGUUCGAUUCUUCCUAGCACCAGUUUGAGAUUCUUAAAAAAAUAUAUUUAUAGAUAUAUGUACAAAGAUAAACUCAAGGAGUUGGUUUAAUGGUAAAAAGUUAAGUAUUGAAUAUGCAUUCCUAAAAAAAAAUAAAAAAAAUAAAAUUGGAUCUGCAUGUUGUAGGAUCAAGUCCCACUAAUCUUCUUGGAUCUUCUUCGAGGGUGGUACGUAUAAUUUUUUUUUUGUGAGUGCGCUUUGAAUUUGAAAAUAUUUUUUUUACCUUAGAUGGAGGCACCAUCCAUAACCCUAAAUCUAUAUAUAUUAAUUAAUUAAUAAGAAAAGAAAUGUCCCUUGAAUUUAUCAUUUUGUCCCUGUAAGGGGCAAUUUGGUAAUCUAUUUAUUGGUUGAGUUUUUUUUUUGGAACAAUGGCCUAUGAAUUUUCAUUUUUGCCCCUAACCAAUUUUUUUUAAUUAUUUUUUAAUUUUUAUAUUUUUAAUAACUUUUAAUUAUUUUCCAAUUUUUAUAUUUUUAACUUUUUCAAUUUUUUAUCCCAAAUUCAGUUGUUUCUACAUUGCCGUUGUGGGAGAUUAAAGUAUUGUUUGACCCGACAUUUUUCAAACUUCUCUACAUUUUUAAGGAGAAGUUAGGUCAAACACAAUAUCAAUUAAGUACUUACUAAAAAAAGUACUUUUUUUUGAACAAAUAGGUUAAAUCUAGGGUUAAUAUUGCAUCACCGGUUAACAUUUAGAAAUAAGAGAUGACAUUUUGCAUAAAUUAAAUCUAGGGGGUUAAUAUAGUAAAGUCACAGGAAAAAAUAAGGUUAAAUCUAGGGCUAAUAUUGCGUCACGGGUUAACAUUUAGAAAUAAGAGAUGCCAUUUUGCAUAAAUUAAAUUUAUGGUUAAUAUAAUUUGUUUAGUAAAAUUAAAGAGAAAAAUUAGGAGCGAUUUGUUUAUUUUGAUUUCCCUAACAAUUAACGUUAACAUUUUGAUCAAAUUAAACAGGGUUAAUUAAAUAGGAUUAAUACAGUAAAAUUAAGCAAAGAAGUUAGGUUAAUUAUAGGGCAAAAUUUUGCGUCCGGGUUAACUUUAAGAAAUAAAAUAAAAUAGGUUAAGUAUAGCAAGACGGGUUAACAUUUAUAAGUAAGAGAUUAAGUUAAGUAUAGCGAGACGGGUUAACGGUUAUUCCUUUAAAAAAAAAAAACAUAUAAUUGGGAACAUACUUUUAUUUUACUUUAGAUAAACAUUAAAUGCAAAAGUGUGGGGGGAAAAAUUAGGUUAAAAUUAGAGAUGACAUUUUGCAUAUCUAGGGUUAAUAUAGUAAAGUCACGCGAAAAAUAGGUUAAAUCUAGGAUUAAUAUUGCAUCAGGGGUUAACAUUUAGAAAUAAGAGAUGACAUUUUGCAUUAAUUAAAUAUAGGGUUAAUAUAGUAAAGUCACAUAAAAAAAUUAGGUUAAAUCUAGGAUUAAUAUUGCGUCACGGGUUAACAUUUAAAAAUAAGAGAUAAGAGAUGACAUUUUGCAUAAAUUAAAUCUAGGGUUAAUAUAGUAAAGUCACACAAAAAAUUAGGUUAAAUCUAGGGUUAAUAUUGCAUCACGGAUUAACGUUUAUAAAUAAGAGAUGACAUUUUGCAUAAAUUAAAUCUAGAGUUAAUAUAAUUUGUUUAGUAAAAUUAAGGAGAAAAAUUAGAAGCGAUUUGUUUAUUUUGAUUUCCCUAACAAUUAACGUUAACAUUUUGAUUAAAUUAAAUAGGGUUAAUACAAUAAAAUUAAGCAAAGAAGUUAGGUUAAAUCUUGGGUAAAAUUUUGCGUUCGGGUUAACUUUAUGGAAUAAGAUAUUAUAAUAGUUGUUAUGUUAUUUGUUAUGUAGUGUUUUAGGCUCUGUGUUGCAAAAUUUUGGUUUACGCAACUUUGAUUUUCACAUUUAUAAAGGACAACAAUUUUCCGUAAUUUAUAAGAUUUCUCCUUCGAAACUAAAUUUUAAAAAAAUACGUUAUUCAACCCGUGUGAAGCACGGGUUUGUAACUAGUUUCUUUUAUAAAAAUAAAAUAAAUAUUGUAUAAAGAAUAAGUAAAUAUUUUUAUAGACAAACCUUGAUUCUUUUUUGUUCCUUUAAUUAUUACCCUUUGGUCUGUACUGUAAAGGGGGUAAUGAAACAUGAUAACACACAAUCAAAUCAAAGAAAGGAAGGAAGAUGGGGUAUCAACAAAAGAAGGAAAUAAAUAAUCACCCUGUCAUAUUGAUGUAGCAAAAGAGGUCAGGGUGAAUAGAGAUUAACUUUCAUUUAUUUUGUUUUAUUUUAUUUUCCUUCCUAACUUUCUUGCUUAAUUAAUUCCAGUAAUGAAAAAAAGCAUCUAGAGAAAAAUGUAAUCAUUCUCAUGAAGAUGGUUGGGUUGGCCCAUAAGAAAAGAAAACUUUCUAAGAUUCUGAGCCAUGCAUGGAAAAUUGGAAAACUAAUAGAAUGCAAAAUAAUUCAUACCCCUUCCUAUCACAAUAGACCAAAAAUUAGAAUGCAUUUUUGCAUAGUUAUGGGCCCUUCUAAUUAUUGUAGUAACGCGGUGCCGGCUGUAAAAAAAAGAUAGAUACUACAUCUUUAAUUUUGUGAUCUAAUCUUUCUCUUAAUGAUAGAAACUUACACUGAUUCAAAGAUAAUCAUCAACACUAAGAUUUAGUGGGUGGUGGGUAUGCAUGAAAUCUGCAUAUGAUUGAAAGGUGUUUAUGUUUCCCUAACUAUUUCAGAAGAUUCCAUAGUUAUCACAUUACAAUCAUAAUUUUGUGGAAUGCUCUUUCUAUGUAACUAAUAAUGUUGUAAUGUUUUUUUUUACUCUUCUUUUAGUCAUUUUCUGCUUUAUGAUAUUGACAGCAAUUAGGGGAGUUUGGAAUCAGAAUCUAUGCUUUGAAGUUUGAAUAAUGAAUAUUAUAAUCACCAUUAGACUUUAUUGGAUUUUUAUGAGAUCACAUGAAUACCGUGCUCUUAAUUAUCUGCAUGUGCUUAAUUAACAAGAUAACAUUUCUUUAGGAAAUUAAUUAGGUAACCUUAAACCAUAAGUAAAGGAGCUAACGUAGAUCGAUAAGAUUUGAUAACAUCUUGAGUUUUUAUCCCUUGUCGAUGUGAAAAUCUCGUUAAUGGGUAUGUAGCACAUUUGUUAUCAUUCUCUAAGUCUUGUUUCGAGAAUUUUCGUGACCUAACUCGGCUAAACUUUAAAUUUAAAAAGAAGAGGAAAAAAAUAUCGAGCAGCAAAGCACAUAACAAAAUGCCGAAAAAUUAGUACAUCUGGGAAGAGGCAACGGUAGCAAGCAACAAAGCUGAUAAGUUAUGAAUUUUGUUAACCAGUGCCAUAAGGACAUUGUUUAAGGAUUAUAUUAAAAGAAAUUUUAUCUUGGAAAUACAAAUUGUUUCUUUAGUCAAUGCAAUAAUUACACAACUUUUUAAUAUAAAUUUACUACUUUAACCAAUGUCAUAAGGAUACUCGUUAACAUUUCCCAUAAAUUAUAAUAUUGUUAAUCAAGUUGUAUUACUCGUAGUUGUAAUACACAACAAUUUGUACACAACUUUACUAUAUAUAUAUAUAUAUAUAUAUAUAUAGUACUCCCUCCGUUCAAAAUUAUCGCUUUGGGAAAAAUAUUUGUCCUAAAUUAUAAGUCGUUUUACAAUAUUAAUAAAACAUUAAUGUUUUCAAUAAUUUAAUUUAUCUUUCUCAUAUCAUUUUUAAGAACAAUUUUAUAAAACAACUAAUACGUAUAAAAUUACAUAAAUAUUUUAUAAUUUGAGACGGAGGAAGUAUCAAAAUAGAACAAAGGCGACAAAAACCAAAAAAGCUCAAAUGAAGACCAACAAAAACAAAAGGACCUAUCUAUCCAAAUAGGUAGGGGGGAGGGGGUUCACUGCCCACUCUAGAAGGUGCAAGACGAUCUAGAUUGAUUACUUAAUUCUAAAUGGGGGGAUAACUUGACUCCUCAACUUCCAGACUAAUCACAACACAAAAUAUCAAACAAAAGUCUAACUCGGUGGCCACAUGGUUUUUGGAUUCCAACUGCUAUGUUUCUUUAUGUAUUUGAUUAAGAUGUUGUUUCAUGAAUUCUAAAAUUUUGAGGGUAUACAUUCUCCCAAACACAUUAAAUAGAAGAGCAUUGCUAUUUCUAGCCAAGUCCAAAUUCAUGAAUACAUGUUUUCAUUGUUGUGAUAUCAUCGGGAUGACGUUUUUCGCUAUAUGCAGGAUUUCCUAAAUAAAAAUACUCGCAAGGGUUUAAAUUUUGAUCAAAUUUGAAAUUCUGAACGGAAUUUAUCAACAAAUCUUAGAUUUCGAGGUAUCCAAUAUGUUUAAGGUAGGGAUGUUCAAAACCGAACCAACUCAAUAAAAAAACCGUAAACCAAAUCAGUACAAACCGAAACCGCAAAAAACCGCACUUGGUUCGGAUGACUUUUGCAUUGAACCACGCGGUUCGGUUUGGUUUGCGGUUUGCAUCUCAGAAACCGAACCAAACCAAACCAAACCGUAAGAAUAACUUUUAUUGGUUCUUAAAUGUUAUUUUGGAUAGAUAACUUUUAUUGGUAUUGUAAUGUUAUUUUGGAACUUCAAGUUCUUUUUUUUUUCGUAUAUUUAAAAUUGCUUGGUACUAAAAUGUUAUGCUAUAAAGAUAUCUAAAAUUGUUUGAUACUAAAAUGUUAAUUUUGGAUGAUGGAGUUAACCAUAUAACUUUGGUGGUAUGUUAUGCCACUUUAUGACACAUGUAAUACAUGACUAUAUUAACGCAUAACAAUAUAUUGUUGGUGUUGAAAAUAAAAGUUUAGAAUCUAUGCAAUUCAUGUAUUAUUGUAUAGUCAUAUUUUAUUAUGUAAACAACAAAAUAAAAUGUCAUAUGUUUAUUUUGUAAUAAUUUGGCAAUAUUAGAGUUAAUGUAAUAUUUUUUUAUCUCGCGAUAAACCGCAUCAAUCGAACCAAUCCAAACCGCAUUGGUUUGGUUUGGUUUGAAUGAGUUUUUAAAAAUCAAGCGAACCAAACCAAACCGCAUCCUUUUUUAUCUCACGAUUUGGAUGACUUUUAUGCUCAAAAUCGAACCAAACCGCACCGCGAACACCCCUAGUUUAAGGGUCCAAAUUCAUGCAUAUAUCAGUUUAAACAUCCAAAAUUCUAAGGGUCUAAAAUUUGAACAAAGGCUCCAAAAUAUUUGAGAGCGGCCUGAUUCUAAACAUAUUUUUAUUUUGAGUUUAAUUGAAAUGCUUUGUUAGUGUAAAAUAAAAUUAUACAUUAACAAAAUAUAUUAAUUAAGUUUUUUUUUUGAGGGAGUUAAUUAAGUUCUUUAUUUUUUAUUUUUUUUAAAUGGCUAAGUUUUUUUUCAUUCAUUAAAUGGCUAAGUUUUUUUUUAUUCAUUGAAUGGCUAAGUUAUUUUUAGUUUUAAUCAUUCAAAUAGAAUGAAUUGAUGUCGGUGUUAACUUCCUUCGCUUAUUAUAUUCACAGUACCAUAACAUAACUUUCAAUUAAUUAAUCUUCUAAUUUUCUUGUCUCCCUUUUCUUUCCUUUUUCCAUCAAAAGAUCAAUGAUGUUUUUCUCUUAAACUUUAACCAAUUUAUAAGCAAAAGCAAAGAUCAAGUUUUCCCCGGGUAAAGCAAAUGUCAAGAUUUGACAGAUGGACCCUUAUAAAAUUUGGUACAAUGCAAAAGUAAUUAUGUAAAAGUGUGAUAUGUCUCGUCUUGGGACAAAUGGUACCAUGAACUACCUUGAUAAAUGGUUCAUAUAUAGUAGACUCACAUUUCAAAAUUGCUCAAAAUAUGAAUCAAGAUUCACGUCCUACUUGAAAGUAGAGCAGAGAUUCACGGUGAUCUUUGUUCUUUUGAGCAAGAUUUAACAACAAUGAAUGAAAAUAAUACGAGUUAAGUUUUGAGCACACAUUUACUUUCUCUUAUUUUUAUCAAAUAUUAUUGAUUAGGUCAUCGUUUCAUCUGUUAAAUUAAGAAUGACCGUGAACUUUUACUUCUCACUAGUAUUGUUGUCAUGUUCUUUUUUGAAAGACCAAAUUUAUUAAUAAGUUAAUCUCUCUUCAAGAUGAACAUAAACCAAGUAAAACAGAAAGAAAAUAACAAAAAGCGUUGUAUAUAGGCAAAACAUUAAAUAAAAAAACCCUUACACCUCAUCCAUAAAAACACCACUAAAUACACCAUCCAAUCCAUAACAUGUAUUUGGAAUAACCGUCAUUUUUGACUAGGUCAAAAGUUUUAUCAAAUAUUAUUGACUAGGUCAUUGUUUCAAUCCAUAAAAGAAGAUAGUGAACUUUUAGUUUUUCAUGUGUGUAAAACCAUCUAUUGAAGUGGUUUACAGUGAAAUUUUCAUAUCUUUAAUCCUUUUUUUUUAUAGGAAAAUAAAAAUUUUGUGCUAGAAGGAACAUGCUGCCUAAGUAUAUAUUCCUAUACAUAAACUGCAAUAUUUAUUUAAUCAUUUUAACCAAGUUCAUUAUCUUAUGCAAAGAAAUAUAAAUUUAUGAAAAUGUACUACUACUACUUGAAUAAAAAAAUAGUUGAUAUAUAAAUUGGCAAGCAUAUAUAUAUAUAUAUAUGUAUGUAUAUAUUCUUGUUUAAUUUUUGUCCAUCCACAUGAAGAUAUGCUAUGUACCUCCAAAGCAUCAAUCCCUAGCCAGCAGCCUCCUAGCUACUAGCUAGCUAGUUCACCAGAGCAGAAUUUGGCGUGAAGUGGAAACAAGUUGACCAUGGUGUGUGUACGGAUUUUUGUCUUUGUUUCGACAUCAUCAUCCAUAAAUGUCAAAGAGACAGAGAGUGGAAGCAACAGAACAAUGUGUCAACGUAAAGUACUGCAAAACUAAGCAUAUACUAUAGUAUACCACCAUCACUAUAUGAUUCAAUUCAUUCUUAUACAAUAAAUAUACAGUACUAGUACUUGACAUGAAAAAAAAAUACUAGUAAUAAAUAAAUGAUACACAAAAAUACAUAGUUUUAGUUGACAAACAUGUGAAAAAAAGUAGCCAUAUUUAUGGAACUUGAACAAGCAUCUCUUAAUGUUACAACCUCAACUAGCAAGGCUCAGGUUUGCAAAUAUACCCUCUUAAUAUUCCAAACUUCAAGAGAUAUGAUAAUUAAAUGCAUAUGCUUUUUUUCCUCACACUUAAAAUGCAUGAAAAUAAAAAUAUCCCAUUAAUUGAUUAAAUAAUAGCCAAUUCAUAUCCAUGGUGAAGAUCAAGAUUUCCAAUUAAGGAAGGAUAGGUUUUGUGAGAGUGACUGGUUGAUAGAAUGACAGUGGUGAUGAAGAAGAUGUUUUUGUUGAAGAUGGCAAUGAUGACAUGAUGAGAGCUUCAAUGUUAUACUCCACUUGAUGAUCAUUAUUUGGUGCAGCCAUAGUUUGAUGAUGAUCUUGUUUUGGACAAAUUAUAGCACCCUGAUAAUGAUCUGUAUUAUAACACUGAUCAGCAAUUUGGUUUACAACUUCAUGAUGAUGAUGAUCAUGUUCUUGUGAAGAAGCAGAAGAAGAAAAUGGGAUGCUACAAACAUAAUUAUCCUUAAUGGUUUCACUGUCAAAAACUUUUUGCACAAUAGGUUCAAGUUGAUUCACUAAAUGACUAUUACUGUCAUAGUGCUGCUGCUGCUGCUGCCAUGUAUAUGUAUUUGUAUUUGGAAUAUUGAUAAAAUUCUGAUCAACAAUAUUAUAGUUUUGGGUGGCAGCAUCACUUUUGGUGGUGAUUUGAUGAUUUUCUUGAAUAUUUGGAUUGAGAUGAUGAAUUAAUGACCAUGUAUCUAAUUCAUAUGAAGAUGGAAUAUUUGAUGAUGGUAGUGUUUCAGGCAAUAUUGGAUUAUUCUGAACAUGUAGGAAAUUGGGAUUAUAACUGUUGAUAUCAAUAUUUUUGAUAUCAUUUUGAUGAUCAAUACCUUGUAGGAUUGGAGUUGGGAUAUUGAUGGGAAGGUAAAGGUGGUUGUCAAAGUGAUAUUGAUGAUUGGAGUUAAGGAUAGGAUUGUCAUUAAAUAAAGGGAAGAAACUUUCAACAGAACCAUUUCUAGGACAGUGAAUAUCAGAAAAUGUGGCUAAAGAAGUGGGAACAAAAUCAUGUGAAAGUAGUUUCUUCUUUAUGCUUGAAUUCCAAAAGUUCUUCACCUCAUUAUCUGUUCUUCCUGGUAAAUGCUUUGCUAUCUGAGCCCACCUGUCCAAUUCCAAACCAUAAUUUCUUGUUAAGAUUGAUAUCAAAGAAAGAGCAAUAAUAUUGUUUAAAAAUGAAAAUAAAGAUGAAUUAGAGUUAUAUAGUAUAUACCUGUUUCCUAGAAUGGUAUGAAGUUCAAUAAUAAGAGCAGCUUCUUGUGGAGAAAAACUUCCACGUUUCAAAUCAGGUCUUAAAUAAUUUAUCCAUCUCAACCUGCAACUUUUUCCACAUCUCUGCAGUCCUGCAAGUUUAGGGACAGAACUCCAACAACCAUGUCCAUAAUUAGUGAUGUAGUUGAUGAGUUUUUCAUCUUCUUCUGGUGACCAUAGUCCUCUUUUCACCUUCUGUUUAUUGCAGCAAGAGUGAUGCCCCAUUAUUGUGUACUUCUCACUUUCUUUGAAUAAUAUCAAGGAUGAUGAUGAUGAUGAUGAUUAUAUUGAAAAAGAAUACUAAUAGAAAAGAUGAAAGGUGUAGGUUGUAUUAUAGGUUUAGCCCUAGGUCACAAAUGGUUAUAUAAAAAUGAGAAUAGAAUGGUUCUGAGCAGAAAACUGAACAGAAAAAAAAAAGGUUGAUAAUGGAAUUUUGGUGAAGUGAGAAGUGGUGAAUUUAAUGUGGGAUGAUGUACACCAUUGUGGACCAGUUAGGGUUUGUAGCAAAGGGCUAAAAGCUGCAGUGUCACCCUGCAACAUUUGUAGGCCCUAUAAUGGAUCUUUUUUCUUUUUAAUUUCUUUCCCUCACUCUCAGAUUGAUCAGAUGGGCUACCUUGUACACGUGUCAUGCAUGCAGACAUGUGGGUCCUAUGUCCUAACAGAUACACAUUGGCCAUUGGCAGAUUGAAGAAAGUUUUUCAAAGAGAGACCAUGGUGAAACUGAUUUGAUCACAAUUUUUGUGUGUGGAUGAUGGCUUUAGCAAUUUACUUGAAGUGUAGAGCAAAAAUCAUCAAUUUUGUUCAAUGAAUUUUUGUGUGUGGGUUGAUUUUCAUUUUAGGUUUUGAAAUUGUAAAGGUCAAUCAAUUUGAUUUGUUUAAGCUCUUUCUUUGAUUUGAACGAGUUGAUAUGAUAAAUAUUUAUGUGACAUGCUAUACGUGUUGACACGUCUAUGACACAUUUCAAAUACAAACCGAAGGUUAUAAUUUUGAAAGUAUAAAAUCCCUAACAUAUAAAUCUAAAAUCCUUAAUUUUAACAAUGUUCUAGUCUAUAUGUAAAUUUCAGAAACCAAAAUAAUCGAUCAUUAAAAAAAUUUGGACUAAAUUGAUGAUUUCUGUUGAACUGUAUUUAAUUUCAAGACUGAGCUAGUGUAUAUCUUUUCUUAAUUAAUGACAUGUGUGAGAAAAGUUGUAGGCAUGAAUGUUCUUGUUCUUGUAUCCAUUUUUUUUUUUUUUUAAGGAAUUGUUCUUGUAUCCAUAAAAGUUAGAUAGAGAUGCACACUAUAUAACUUCAAUAACAGAACUAUGUUAGAUUAAGAGUAUAGAUAGAAAAACUUAGUAUAAGUUAUAACAAUUACAUUUUUUUUUGUUGGAUUCAAUCGUUAGCAAAUAGUUAUAUGCGACUAAUCCGGCUCAUGCGUGGAGACAUGUAUACUGGCCAAGUUUCUUUAACCAUUGAUAAUUUUUUUUUUUUUUUUUUUUGUGGAUUCAAUCAUUAGCAAAUAAUUAUAUUCUCCGGAUACGUCUUUGAAAGAAGCUUCUUAUCACUGAAGCUCAAACAACUUAAUUUAUACUUUUAAUUUUGAUAUAGAACCAACGUAACGAACAUUACACUGCACUAUCACUAGUUAAUAAUCUUAUAUGUGAGUUUUAAAGUAGCUAUCAUAAAAGUUAAUCAAUUUUACUAAAUUAACAAUUAUGAUUGAUUGGCAAGGUAAAAAUAUUUAAACUCACCUUAUAUAAAUUAAACCCAAUAAUUAAUACAAGUUGUUUUCAAAAGUUGCAUAUGAUUGAAGGUAGUUUUUAAUUACCGUAAAAAAAGGUAGCUUUUUAUUCUUUAGUAAAUAUUUCAUAAGCCAAUAAGUUUUUUUUUUUUGGAGAGAAAUGAACCAACUUGAAGAUACCUAUUAUUAGAUAUGUUGCAUGCAUGUAUAAAGUUAAAAAUCUUGAAUGAAAAGCAUCAGAAUUAAAGGUAGUCUUGGGGAGACAAGGGUGGCCAAGUCCUUGAAUCAUACAUGACCAAAUUAAUGUUUUUUUUUUCUCAUAAUUUUUUUCAAUCAAAAGUUGCGCUCCUUCAGCAUCUUGGUCCUCAUCAUUCAUCAAUAUAAAUAACUUCUUUAAAUAUUUUAUUUUCUUAAACUUUUUUUGAUCGUCUUUAUUUUCUUAAACUAUGAAUUUAUUAUUUAAUUUAUAUAAAAAUAAAUAAAUGCUAAUCAACAUAACUUUUUUAAUGCAUUAUUAUGUUUUUAUAGUGUUGUAUUUUUUGGUAAUUUUAUUUUAUAUUUCUAAAUAGCAUCCUUAAAUAGACAUUACAAGUGUCCUCGUGAGCUUAGCUCACUUGACUUGGACAAUGCAUAAUAUAUGCAAGGUCCGGGGUUCAAACCCCGGCCACUACCAAAAAAAAAAAUAUUAGACAUUACAGGUUUUCUUGUUGGAUUCAUACAUAAAUUUUUUGUGAGAAUGUAUUUAUUAAAAGAGUAAAUUACACUCCCCUCCCCUCUAAGAUGCUUGAAUUACACUUCUCUCCCCUCUUAUGUUAAAAUAUACAAUCCCCUCCCCUCUUAUGUUAAAAUAUAUAAUCCCCUCCCCUCUUAUUCAAAACAUAUUAGAAAACUUUACACCCCCUCCCCUAAGAGAAGCUUGAAUUACAUUCCCCUCCCCUCUUAUAUUAAAAUCUACACUUUACUCCCUCAAUUUUUUUUUAUUUCUAAUAAUUUAGCAAAAAUAAUAAUAAUUAACACACUUCGGAAAAAAAUUGUAUUACGGGUCUAUUUUAAUAUAAUAAAAAAUUGAAUACAUAUUUUUCGCUAUUUUUUAUUCACAAUUUGAUUAACAUGUAGUUUUAAACUCUAUUAUAAAAUAUGAAACAACCCAAAAUAAAAUUAAAAUAUGUAAAAAAUUACUAAAGACAAUAAAAUAGGGUUAUUUGAAAGUUAAUUUUAUACUCUAAAUUAUUAAAUCAAUAGCAAAAUAUUUAAAUUUAAUUAUCAUUGACAUUUAAAUUAUAAAGAAAUGAAUUAUUUUUUCUUAAAAGGUGGCUCAAAAUUAAAAUAUAUCAUAAAAAAUUUUAUUUAUGUUAAAUAGAUUAAAGUGUAGAUCAUAUUUACUUAUUAAAGGAGGGGAUUGUAAUUAAGCAUCUUAUAAAUUUACUCUUAUUAAAAUGGUUAGUAAUAUAUAUUGCAACAUAAAUUUAUGUAGAGGCAAUGUCAUCAAAACAAGCUAAUAAUAAUUUUUGUUUGACAAAUGCUAAUAAUACUUUAAAAGUAGUUCUUUUUUAUUUUUUAGGUUUUAAGGACAUACGUGGGAUGAUCCAAAGAAAAUGGUACACAUGAAGUUUAGAAAAUUCCUCCAAAAAAAACUUUAGAAAAUUGCCACCAAACGCGGUCAAAGGUAGUGAUUAUAUGCUGGAUUGCUUAAUUAUCACAUGUUCCGUUUUGAGGGAAACAUGAUAUAUAUCAUAUUUUUUAUAAUUGUCAAAAAAGUUUUUGCUAUAUUUUUAACUUUUUUUUUCCUGGGUGCCGUAGUAAAGAAAGAAGAAAAAUUGUAAGGAAAAUGCUAAGUUUUUUUUUUUGACAAAAACUAAGUUGACAAAAUAGAAAUAAUUGAUGAGUUUAAUGAAACGAUAGUCGAUUUUUAAAAUUUCACGGUAAUAAAUGCACAAUAUUUAAGAUAAAGUUUUUUCAUUAGACUCAUUCCUUCCGUUUUAAAAUAUAAGCAAAAUUCACUUUUUAGGUUCAUUCAUCUAAUGAUGUAUGUGGUUCAUAUACAUCAUUAGAUGAAUGAACCUAAAAAAUGAAUUUUGCUUAUAUUUUAAAACGGAUGGAGUAUUAUUAAAUACUCUAAGAACACUUAUUAUUCUUUCCUCUUUUUAGAACUGCGCAUAUAAAGAAGGGUACUAUAGCAUCGUAUCCAAAUUAUAUCCAAUAUCAUCCCUAUCUUUUAAAGUGUAUGGAUACAAACACUUGGAGUUGCUAGCCAUGUAGGCAUGUAUACAUAUUUUUUUUAAAUGGAAAUGUUAAAUGAUAGUCUUGAGGCAUUGGAGUAAAUAGUCAAUUUUCUCUAUGAAAUUAUAAGUUUCAUCAAUUACCUCUCUGAAAUUAACAAAACUUUAAUUAUCCCCCUGAAAUUUCACAACGUUAGUCAAUUUACCCCCUCCGUUAAAUUUUUCUGUUAGUGAACAUGACGUUUUGCAAAUACCCCCCUGAAGUUUUGCACUUAUGUGCAAAAUGCCCCCAAACUUAAAAACUUAUAUUAUUUUUUUCUUAAAAACAAACAAUUAAUAGUUAAAUAUUAAAGCUAACUAUUAAUUUUGGAAUUUGGAAAAACUACAUACAUAUAUACAUCAAAAUAGGGAAAAAUGUGUAUUUUUAAAGUGACAAUAAUGGUUAUUUCUAAUAGACAAAUUAUUAUUCUUAGAGGUUUAUAAACAAAUUAAUAAUCAGAUUUAAAUUUAUAUUUUCUCCUUCAACAUCUUAGUCUUUUAACUCCUCCAACUCCUUCAACAAUUUGCUCAAACCAUUUAAACUACAUAACCCCCAAUAUUAAUCCACAAAUCAUCCCAUUAUUGUCACUUUAAAAAAUACAUAUUUUUCUCCAUUUUUGAGCCUAUUUUGAUGUAUAUAUGCAUGUAGUUUUCCCAAAUUCCAAAAUUAAUAGUUAGUUUUAAUAUUUAACUAUUAAUUGUUUGUUUUCAAGAAAAAAAUAAUAUAAAUUUUUAAGUUUGGGGGGGCAUUUUGCACAUAAGUGCAAAACUUCAGGGGGGUAUUUGCAAAACGUCAUGUUCACUAACAGAAAAAUUUGACGGAGGGGGUAAAUUGACUAACAUUGUGAAAUUUCAAGGGGGUAAUUGAAGUUUUGUUAAUUUCAGGGGGGUAAUUGAUGAAACUUACAAUUUCAGGGGGGAAAUUGACUAUUUACUCUGAGACAUUGGUUAAUAGAACAAAAGUAGAAAAUAUUAUAUUGUAAAAUAGUAAAAUGUGAUAAAUUUAACUUAAAAAAAAUUAAAAAAUUGUUGAAUUUAAUACAACUUUACUAUUUUGGAUUAAUAGUGUUUUACCCCCUUGUAAUAUAAGUCAUUUUCGAUUUUACCCCCUGUAAAAUAUUUUUUUUUGGAUUUCGUCCUUGUAAUUUGAAUAUUUUUGGUUUUGGACCUUCAUGAAUUUUGACUGUACAAAAUCGAAGAUAUACCAGGGGGUAAACUGAAAUUUUCUCAAAUUAACAGGGGGUAAAUCGAAAUUUGCUCAAAUUAUAAGGGGGUAAACCUAAAUUUUCUCAAACUACAGGGGGUGAAAUUUUUCAUGAAGGUCCAAAACCAAAAAAUCUUCGUAUUACAAGGAUGAAAUUCAAAAAAAUUAUUUUACAGAGGGAAAAACCAGAAAUGACCUAAAUUACAGGGGAUUAAAGCACUAUUAACCCUACUAUUUUUGAUUUCUUUAACAAAUAUUCUAAAAAUAUUUAUUAGCAUAACCUUUUUUAAAUCGUAGGUAUAAAAAAGGGUACUACAACAUCCUACCCAAACAGUUAGGAUACGUUAACAAAAAUUUAUAAUAAAACUUGUAUGUAUGUAAAAUACUUGAAGAAAAUUAACAUUGAUUACUCUUCAUUAUUGUAUUAUUAUAAAAGUUAUAAUUUUUAAAAAAUAAUACAUGUGAUGAAUUUUUAUUUUUUUUAAGUUUUCUUAUAAACCAUAUUACAUUUUCAUAUGUUGGGAUAUUGAGAGAAACAUCAUUAAAAGAACUCAACACAAAUUUUAUCUAAUGUUGAUUAACUAAAUCAUAUUUCUCGCUACGUUCAUCCACAAUAAGUAUAAUUUUAAGUGUUUCAUCGAGAAACAAUUCUAUUGAUGCAUAUCUAAAAUUGAGUCACAUACAUCUAUAAUGAAUUUUUACAACAUUGUCUCACUUUUUUACUCUUCAUCUUUUUCUAGGAUACGUGUUUGUGAAGUAUCCCAUAAGUAUCCGAUAAAAUGUUUAUUAAAAAUUAAAAUAAUCAAUUCUGAUACUUCAUGGAUACGUAUCCGCGAGUAUCCGUGGAGUAUCGGUAUUCCAUACGUAUCCAGUAUGGGUACGUCUCCGUUUUGGAGUAUUCGGGCUUCAUAGCUAUCUUUUAAAGUGUUCUCACUUGAAUUAAACAUUUUACUGAACUGCUUCUUAAGAACAUCUCAUAUUGAUAUUACAAAUUAAGUGUGGGCCUAUUUUGAUUAUUACUCCGUUAAAACGGAAAAAUUAGGGCCACAAAGUGAAAAUUAUUGAGAACCUUGAAAGUAAUCUCAUUGUCAUCAAUUGCUUUCAAAUGAUGCUUGGGUGUACGAAUCAAACUCAUAGAAAAACAUUAUCGACUGCUUAUUACCUAGGUGAAUAAAUGCUUAAGUAAUGAUGAUUAAUUCCCUAAAAAAAAAAGUAAUGAUGAUUAGUCAUUCUUAUUCUUAUUGAGACCAACCAAGUUUAAUUGACAAGUGACAUUAUUAAGUACGAACGUUCUAAAUUUAUGUAAAAACUUGGAGGGCCAUAUCUUCGAGAAGAAGAUACAUUGUAGUAUGAUGUUACUAACGUUCUAAAUUUAUGUAAAAACUUGGAGGUCAUAUCUUUGAGAAGAAGAAAUAUGUAGUAUUAUGUCAUUCAAAUUUGGAAAGUGAUAGUAAAUCAAAGAUAUUAGUAUCAGAAAGAAGAAAAACAAUGAUGCGAUUUAAUCAAGAGAACUUAUCCCGACCAAGAAAAAGGAUAUGCUCAAAACUUCAAUCACAUCAUUCUCUCUCACAUUGCGUAUGAGUCUCGAAAGAUAAUUUUCCACCGUGGUAUGCAAUUAAUUACUCCCUUUAGUCUUGAAUAUAAGCAACAAAACAAAAAAAUUGAUGGUCUUGAAUAUAAAAAAGAAAAAUGUUGACAACUUCUAUCAUAUUUAAUGUUACUAUUCCUAAAUUAUCCUUUAAUUAAUGUGAUUUUAUUUUUUUCUUUUCAUGGAACAAGUUCUCAUGGAUGAUAAUUUAGAAAUUACAAUUGUAUUUUUUAUAAUUUUGAGAGAAAUAAAUGACACCAACUAAUUUUCUUAAAAAGUGUAAAAUAAAAUUUGUUGCUUAUAUUCAAGAUCAAAGGGAAUAUAUACUCUAUUUGCCCUCUUUCUUUACCAAGUUUUUUAUAUAUACUCUGUGUUCCCGAUUAUCUGUUAUUUUAAGGGUAUUUAAACAUAUCACGAAAGAAAAGUAAAAUGUGAGUUUUACUUUGAAAAUGAAAAGUAAAUAGAAACAAAAGUUUUCUACAAAAGAGACAAGUAAAAGUGAAAAAUUGAAGAAUUAAGCAAGCAUCUGUUGAUCGUUAUGAAAUUAAUUUUUUAGUAUAGAUUUGUUGCACAAGGCAUAAGUGAUUACUUUUUUUUAUAAGGCAAGAGCAAAUGACAUCAAAAAGAGUGACACCCAAUUAAGUUGGUACCCAAUUCUAAUCUUUUGCUAAAUGCUCAUAUAUAUAUUACUAAAAAAGGGGAAAAAUACAUAAAAAAAUUGGGGGACAUAAACCUAACCAGAUUAUCCACAAAAUGUAGUUCUACCCAAACAGGUAAUAUGAAAAUUAAAAACAACACAAAUGGAUCAAAACAGCCUCUUAAGUAGAGGUCUAGAUCGUGGUGAAUGGACCAACCGUCAAAGCAAAUACCAAAUAAGUCCCUCCUUCUGGCGCGGGGAGGAAUAGUGGAAACUUUUUACUAGAAUCGCAACCACCAUACUGAAACAUCUGGAUCAACACAACAGUUCGUCCUAUCAGAUCUUGAAGAACGACGACAACCUUGAGGAUGACAACGACGGUAGGUUGGGAAUUCGAGCUGAAGCUUGAUCUCGAAGAGGAAAACGUCUAAUCUGACACGUCUACUAAACAGUUUUGAUUGAGACCUCUUUAAAUCGACCAACACGCAGCGAGACCUAGGAGGAUGGACCAGAGGAAUAAUCGGAUCUGAAAUGUGACCCGGAUCUAAUGGAUCCUACCCGAGAGGGUUUUAGAGAGCUUUAUUUAGCAAAACUAACAUCGUCGGCGAUGAAAACCAUAGAAUCAAUCAAUAAAAUGACAAGAUCAUGCGCGGAAUCAGUCGUUGUAGAACCACCAAACAACAAGAAACCCAGAUCGAAGCUUUGUAACAAAGUCUUAAUCUUCAACCCACUAGAGACCACCGACCAGGCCAACAGUGAAAUCUCCGGCAGAUUCAGGAAAUGAGGUGGUGAGGGAGGCUUACUGCCAACCAUCACACUAGCUACCCACGAGUGCAGCUACAUUGAAGGAAUAUGAGGGUAGGGAGGGGGGUGGCGCGUUCACCCUUUCCAUAAGUGAUUAAUUAGGUUGUCCAAAUUCUAUGAAAAUAUCGAGUAUAAUAUUUACGUGAAGCUAAUCAAACGACCCAUUAUUUAGCAAAGUUUGCUAUUUAUUCUCUAACUUAUUUUUUAUGGAUGGAAGAGAUUCCUCAUUGUAUUGUAGCUGUAGUGACACUUGAUUUAUUGCCAUCUUUUUGGUUAAUACAAUUAGUUAUUUCAAUUUUUUUUUUACUUAUUGAUAAUUAUAUCUUUAUUUUGACACUUUAUACAUUGAUAUUUUGCUUAUAUAUAAUCACUUAUACUAUAUAAGUUUGUCUUGAUUAAUCAAAAUUUAUGGAGCCGCGCGUCUCUAUUCACGAGGAAUAAAAGUUAUGUGCAUUUUUCUAGAUGAGUUAUCUGAUGUUUUUUUUUUUUUAAUAUUUAAAAUACACUUUGGUUGUUAAAACAAAUGAGAAAAUUAUAAAUUUAAAGAAAUCAUCAUAGUUGUGAAUAUUUAAGUGAACAAAGUAAAAAUUAAAGGGACAAAUUUCUUGCCAAAAAGAAAACUACAUUUAAACCUGCUAUUUUGCAUAUUCAUUUUGUUUGGAUAAAGGAUGAAAAGUAGCUUUGCAAAAGUAUAUGCUUUUACACCCUAUUUAGGGAUUCCAUCUAGGCAUGGCAACAAAACCCAUACCCGUGGUUACCCGCCCGAACCAAAUCUAAUUUGACGGGUUUUUCUGUUUUGACUGGGUUUGAGUAUGGAUUUUCCCCAAAACACGGGUAUGAGACGGGUAACGGGUAUAUAAGUACCCACCCCGAACCCAUACACAAACCUGUCCCAAAUGUAAAAAAAUUACUUUAUGUUGAUAUGUUAUGUUAUUUUGUUUGAUAAUUGUCAUGUUAAUAAAAACUACCAUUGAUAUUUAAAGGAUCAACUAAAUCAUUUUGUCUAACAAAUGUGAAAGUGAGCUUAUUGUUGGAUAAUGUAUUACAACGUUGCUCUUGGGGAUGCUAAAAAACUUCUAUUUUUUAUUAAAAAAAUUAUUCAAUGUGGGGACGGGGAUGGGGCGUGGAUACCCGAACCCGUCAGGAACGGGGAUGUGAUUCAAUUUAUCAUCCCCGUUGGGUAUGUGUAGGGUAACAGAUAAGUAUAUGAGAAUCAUAUAUGGGGAUGAGGAAGGUAAAACCCGUCCCCAUCCCGCUCCAUUGACAUUCCUAAUUCCAUCUAAAGCAGUGCUAAAAAAAUGGUUCGAAUAAUCCUUUUUGGUUGGAUGAUCUUAAUUAUGAAAUGAAACUAAAAUACUACUCUCUCCUUCCCAUUUUAUACAAAUACUUUACGUAAAAACAUGUGUAUUAUGAAAAAUUGUUAGAGAAAUAAAUUUGUUUGAAAUGUGGGACCUACUAAAUUGAUUGUAACGAGUAAUAAAUACAUCACCAGAUCAUUUGUCGUGAAUCUUAUACUCAGCGGCGAAGCUAGCAAAAAAUUUAUGCAGGGGCUAAAUAUAAAAGAACAAUAAAAUAUUUUUAAAACAAAUAUAUUAAAUUUAAGGAUAAAAAUGUUAUUAGUCCUAUAGAUUAUAAUUUUUUAGGUUUAGUCCUUAUAAAAAAUUUAUUCAAUUUUUGUCUCGAUUAUUUAAAAUUUUACAAAAAAAAAAGUGUUUUUAGUCUUGUAUUUAAUCUAUAACUAAAAAUUAAAGACUAAAAUCAAACAAAAUCUUAGAAACAUAACUCAAAAAUCGCACGUGUUGUAAAGACUAAAAUCAAGUUUAAUCCAAAAAUUAAUCAACACAUUCAAAAAAUCACAAUAACUUUUACUUAUAUGAAAUGUAAACUAAAGUAACAACAAAUGAUAAAAAUUGACAAUAGCUAUUUAAAAAAGUUGGAUAAAAUGCAUUUCAAGAAGCCAAUUUUAUCCAUAAUUGAUCAUUUUACUAAAUAGAUUAAUAAUGUCUUUUCCAAUGUAAACAAAUAGUUUAUUUGCAAGAAACUCAAUGUCCAUUUAAUUUGUUUAUGACUAUUGUCUUUAAAAUUUUUACUCUUGAUUUUUUUUUUCUCAUAUAAAUAAAUUUAUCAAUCAAGUAGUAAUGCAUUUACUUUCUUAUUCAUGCUAAUAUUCGGAAACUGAAUUUGUUUGGUGUAGCUGAAUGUUUAUUAUUUGGGGGUAGCUGAAUAUAAAUUUAUGCAUAUUAAGAAAUGUAAUUGAUUUUGUGUGAGAAAGAAAUAUUAUGAGUUGUUUUUAGAGCUGUCAAAACAGGUUGUGCCGUAUGGGCCGACCCGUUUAGACCGAUUAAUUAUAGGGCUUGGGCCUUAAAUAUUGAGCCCGAAUUUUAAUAGGUUUUUUAGCCCAGCCCUAAAAAGCCCGGUACCCGUUAGGACUAGCCCGAACGGGCCGCGGGUAGCUCGUUAGCCCGCAUAACAAAACAAUCCUAUAAAUUAUAUAUAUUUUUCAAAUAAUUCUUUACUUUGUUGAUUAAUAAAGUAAAAAAUAAAAGUGAAAAUUCAAUGAAUUAACACAUAUGAAUGUAAUAUAAAAUUACGAGGAAUGCUAGCUGCUAAACACACGCUACCCUAUUGGCCCACGUAACAACUUUUUUAUGAGUAGUAACCUGUUUACCGGCUCAACAGGUUGUUCUUUUAACAUUUUUUUUUUUUUGCAUGAACAAAUAAUUCAUGUUUCCACCAACCUUCAAAUAACCUCCAUUGCUUUCUUAUUCUUUCUCUUCUGUAAAGAUCAGUCCACCAUUAACGUGUAAAAUCCUUAAAAAAAAGAAAAUCCACCACCAUGAAUUUCAAUUUUCACAAAGGAGGUCCAAACCUUUAUCUAACACCAAACCCUCACAAUAAUCAUACAAAUCAACUUAGAUCUAGAUCUGGAUCUAGUUUUGAUUUGUAAUUUAUUCAAAAUAUGAUUGUGCAUCAAAUCAACACAGUAAGAUAUGGAUUUCCUAUUUUCAUUUACAAACACACUUCUGUUGCUGGUGAGGGUUCUCGAAUGCGGUUUUGAGAAGACGAGAGAUAAAGGAGAGUGUAGUAGUGAUCAGGUGAGUCAUGAGCAAAUGAUAAUUGAACAUCGUUUCUUUCUUUCUCCUCAACAUCAAUGGUGAUUCUGGAUCUGGGUAACAGUAUCUUUCCAAGGAAGAAGUUAUGAAAAAUGCUGGUAUUGGUAAAAAAAAAAAAAAAGUUCAGAAAAUUAUUAUCUAAUUUAAUUAAUUAAAUAAUUAAAAAGCAAAAGUAAAAGUGUUGGAAAAACAUCCGGUAACCAAAAAUAUGUUGAUGACGUGGCUCUUUAUUCGAGAGAGUGUGCUUAACGAGUGCCAAAGCAAUUGUUGCUAGCACAGCUCUAAAAUUAUAUUUAUUCGUUUCGUUAUUUAUAAUUUUAAAGAUCAAAUAUAUAAAUAUUUAUAACUUUUUUUUAGGGAAGUAAAUAUCUAUCUAUAAACAUAACGUAUCUAAUUUAUUUAAAAUUGUUUUCCUCGCCGUUUUAGUUUACGACUAGUGUAUCAAAAUGUUUACAAUUUAUUUUUGUGCUAGACAUUAUUUAAAAAUAUUAAAAAAUUAUUUAUAAAAAAAUCUAUAGGAGUAUUUUAUAGUACUUUUUAUAUAAAAAAAAUGUAAUUUUUAAUACGGGCCGGCCCGUGUAGGGCUGGACUCAGGUAGUAUAUUUCAAGCCCGUUUUCUAACCGGGCUUUUUGGCCCGGUCCAAUAAAGCCCGAAACCCGUUAGGGCCGGGCCGCCCAUUUUGACAGCUCUAGUUGUUUUACAAAAUUGUUUUUAAUAAAUGAUAUAUGAUAGAUAAAUGAAAGGAUUGAAAUAAGAUAGAGUAAUAAAUAGUAAAGUUAUAAUAGGAAAAGUAACAUUAAUGUUUCAUUGAUAUUACAAAGCAAAAAAUAAUUUGGGACAAUUUUUUUCUUUCAAAGAUAAUAUAUAAUUUGAAAUGAAGGAGUAUUUAAGAACAAUUAUAUUUUUGUAAGUGAUCUUAUAAUUAAAAAGAGAAGGUACUAUGAAGUUUUUGUUAGCUGGUGAAAUUUGGAUGCUAGCCAUGAACUUGAUGGUUUACGACAUACUUAUCGUUUUGUGUUGACCUUGGCUAAAGCAAGACUGCUUUUACAAUUGGAAUGCGGUUGGAAUUUUGCUUUUUAUAAAAGUAAUCAUAGACAAAAUCUAGUUUUAUUUAUUUUUACAAUCUUUAAUUUUUUUUUUUUUUUAAAGAAUCUUAAGAAAAUUAGUUAAUCACAUUUUAAUUUAUCAGAAAAUGUAAUUGAACUUUCAAAUGAAGGGCAAUUUGGAAUAUUUAAUGUCUUAUUAAACAUUGAAUUGAGAAAUAUCAACAUGAUACAAAUGUAUAUCAUACCUUUUAUCCUAACAACUAAACGAGUCUUAAACGAUAUUAUAUAGUGUUUUGGACUGGGUCAAGCCCAAAUCUAGCAUAUGAAUAAUAGGUUGCUCCAAAGAUGUCUUAGUCUCAACCAAUGAAAAUAGGACACAUCAUUUAAAUUUAAUGGAGGUGCACUUUCAAUUGCAUAUUUUGGUAAUAGAACCGUUUGAAAAAAUGGUUGAACAUGAUCUAGAGAGACAAUAAAAAAGAAAUUGAAUUUUUUAUAUUACAGUUUUUUAAAUUUAAAUGUUGUGUCCUAUUUUCACCGAUUGAGAUUAAAUAUGAGGUGUUAGGUGAGAGACCAUGCAAGAAUUUCUCUGUUAUGAACACGUCUUAAAGCCACACCCAAGCAGGUAUUGUGUGAAGAUUUAUCAAGGCGGCAUGAUGAAGAUCACAUUAUUAUCUAUUUACAAGUACAACCGUCACACAAGGCACUACCUUAAUUAGGGUUUCCAUCCGAUAAUCCCGAAUCCUCCUUCUAUAAAUGCUAACUUAUAGCUAAGUUAAAUAAAUUUUUUGUAAACCCUAAAAUCACACUGACACACAUACGACCCUUAACUGAUUUGAUUAUCACAGUAAUUGCAGAUGCAUUACCCCCUUCAUGAAGCAACCAUCAUCCCCACCCAUCUAUCAAGUCCACCUAACAAGAGAUUUUUGUUGCUAAUAUUUGAGAUUAGUGAGAGAAUAUUUCAAUGUUCUUGUGACUUGAAAUGAAAUGUAUAUAAAUAUAAACGAUUUUAUUGCUUAAUUCAUGUUCUAAUGUAUAUAAAUAUGCAUGCAAAUACAAAAUUAGUCUUGUAGGUUCAAAUUCUUUAUUUUUGGGUGUUCCGCCGUAUAUAUACGACACCUUUUGUUUGUAUUCUCAGUUUCACUGAUCUCUGUUCGUCUUGAAUAGGGAUUAGGUUGUUUAAUAAAAUUUGUUGUUUCAAAAAAAAAAACCACUUUUACAUAAAUAUGUAUGAAUAUAUAUAAUUUUAUAUUCAAUUUACUUUGAAUCAAAAUCAAUUAAUUUAAAAAUCAGUUACGUUUUUACGUACUAGAACCAAUCACACGUGGCCCAUUUGUUCUUUUGGUUUAAAUUGGAUAUAAUCUAUGCGUAACUGCAUAUACUAAUUCAUUGAAUCGAGUAACUGUAAUAGAUGAUAAAACUCUCAUUCAAGAGACAAGAAAUUUAACAUUGUUUCAUUCUCAAGGCUGGAUUCAAACCCAAAAUAUCUGAUUAAGCAGAAAGAGUGCAUUCCAUUGAUUUUAAAGAAAGAUAUAUACUCCAAUGGAAUGCAUUCGUUUAAAGAAAGAAAUAUUAGCAACAUAAAUGGAAUGCAUUCCAUUAAUUGAGAGAAAAAGUUUUAGAGAUAUAUAAUAAAGAGAGUGCUAGUUACAAGCUGACAACAAGGGGGGCAACAUGGAGUUCCUUGUAUUUUGUUGGUUAUGAGAGAAAAAGUAUGAGCAUGGGAAGGUUAUGAUGGAAGAAAAAGAGCUAUAGUUAAAACAAAGAUUCCUAAUUAAUAGUUGCACAUGCAACAUUUAAUACCACUGGCCUCUUUUGCUUUAUUUGUUGAGCCAUCAAAGGACUCUUAUCAUCAGAAUCUUUUGUUUUUCUCCCAAAAUUAUAGAGAUAUGAAAACAAGUACAUGAAAGAAUGCUAUGUAAUUCUUUGUCCUCUCCUGAUUUCUGAUUGGUUUUGGUAUGGGUCCUUUUCAGUCAAAUGCUAGUUCUUUUGAUUUUCUGCUUAUUUUCUUCAUCUCUUUUUCCCUUCUUGAGAGGGUGAGGAAUUCAUCAUACAAGGAAAGCAAUCAAUGUACAUUGUACCUUGAGUUACAAUGAGAACCCAAAUAAAGAAUGGCAUCUUGCUCACCUAAAACUUAUCUUCAAAUCUCUUGUGCUAUGUAUGCUACCAUGGUAAAUAACAAGAAUUAAUUUUGUAUACUUUUAACGGGAAAAUUAUAUAAUUCUCAAACUUAAAAUUGAAGGUGAACUUCCUAAAAAUGAUCAGGAGAUAAACAAAUGUCAAGAUUUAAAUGUUGAAAAUGCCUUAAAAUCGUAGUUUUUAAAGUCGUUGUACCCAUGUGUCUUUGUCGCAUGAGUGGGGUUGCACAACCGUGACCUGUUAUUUAAGAAGGCAUUUUCAACAUAGUUUUUAGUGUGAAAAAGUGGGAAUUCUAGGGUUACCAAAGAGGGAUUUUUAGGGUUAAAAAUUGAGAGUUUUUGGGAAAAUUCUAGGGUUGGGAAACACUUUUGUAUAUCUUGGGGAUAAAUUAUCGAGUCUCUUGGUCACGGGAAACGACUCAAACAAAAAAAGUAGAAAUUAAGGUUUGUUCUUGUAAAAUGUUGAUUUCUUGUAACCCUUAUAUCCCUUAUAUCAUCGUGUUUUUUUUAUUCUCCUUUAUCUUAUUGUUUGUUAUCACUUUGAUUUGAUUGCCACUAAUUAUGUUCAAUAUCGAGAUUUUUUCCGUUUGAAAUUUAAUUGUUUAUACCUAAAAUUUAGAUGAAUUGACUAUAAUUCAAUUUCCACACAUUUAGCUUGAGACCGCACUAAUGUUAAAAUUAUCUCUUGAGAGAGAAAAUUUACUCUUCAUUAUAGUUCUACUCAACUCAGAGGAUUGAUAUGCGCACUUGCGUGCAAAAGAUUUUUAAUUAAAUUGAUUUUUUUUAAAAAAACUCUGUUAUAGAGUUAUAGGGAAUUGUACGAAGAUUGAAACAUUACAAUGACCAAUAUAAAAAAAAGACAAUCUAUGAGAUUUCUUAAUUGGAACUAACAUAUUUGUUUUAGAUUAUGUUGAAAUUUAUGUUAGGUGUUUAAAUUGACUCGACUCUUUAAUAAUUGAAGAUUAGCCACAAUCAUUCAUCUCUAUGCCUCUAUGUUUAUGUUUAUGUUUGUUUUUUUUUUUUUUUGACAAAACAAUCAAGAUGUUGUAACUAUGAAAGAAAUCAAUUAACUAUGGUGUAAUAGUUUACUCCACCUAAGUAGUGAGUGAACUAAAUCUAAAUCCAUCGCGUAUAUGUAAAAAAAAAUUACUACAUUGAUCUCUACGACACCAUGAUUUAUAUCACAGUGAUCAUGAUCACGAUGUUUAUGCCGAUCAAAUUCUAUAAUCUGAACUGCAUAAGGCGUGUGAGAAAUCAAAUAGGACGGAAAAAUGAACGUGUCCAUAUUGUUUAUAAAGCAAAGAGACAAGACUAACAUUGCCCCACAAAAAAUAUAAGAGAUAUCGAAGAAAAUACUAAUGGUAAUGGCCCUUCUAUAAGGUCCCAUUGCCCCUAUCCUACUUGGUCUUCCUUCUACUCAUAGCAAGCCUCCAUGAAAGGAAGGUUUCACACUUACUCCAAAUUGAAAAAAGCAUCUCAUACUCACUUUUACUUUCCUUCACUUCAAAAUCCCAUCAAAUUACAUUCAAUUUUUUUGUUUACAACUUUAGGUGGCAUCCUGAUUUCUUGCCAUUGUCAGCGCAUAUGCUUACGUGGGAAGGGAAGCCUAUUAACUGAAUAGCACCUUCGUCUUGAUCAAGUAGGCCAUGGAGGAUAUAUAGGGAGAAAAGUCAAAUUAAACUUUAAUGUAGUAAUAACUUGAGAUACUCUCGAAAGCCUUAUCAAAAUGAUACUAUUUAAUGUUUAUGGUUCUGAAGUUGACCUUUGAACCAUUUGAUGUCAUCGUUUGGUUUAUAGUAUAUUUUUAACUUUUCAAAUUUAGUUAGUUUUUGAAAUUGUAGUGAUCGAUUAGUUUGAUAUCUCACAUUAAAGAGAUUAAUCAAUUCUUCAAGAUUAAUGUAAAUGAAAAUGAAAAUACAUUUCACACUAGUUUUGCGGGACACUUUAAAAACUAAGUAUGCAUGUGUUUGGUUCUACGGUUGUACAAAUAAAUUUUAAAACAACUGAUUAGGUAAAAUAGAUUCUGAUCAAAAGUAUGUUAAGUAACAAAUUGUUUGACAACUUAGUCAUUUAAAGCACCUUCACCAUUUAGGCUCGACACUCAAGAGUUGUGUUUAAUACCCAAUAUUUUAUGAUCCAAAUAUUUUAAGAUAACCAUCACUGUAGGAUGACAUCCAUCACCAUCACAAAAAAUCCACCACCUUCAACCUCUCCCGAGUUGAUUUGUGUUCUAGAUUAAAAUAAUGUAAAAUGAUUUAUAUUUGAACAUGUUAAUGGAAAAGUGGAUAGGAAAAUAAAUUCAAAGCUAAAUAUUAAUUUUAAAAGCUAUUCAAUUAUAUUCGAAAACAUCUAAAUAUUUCAAAACCAAUUCUAUACAUCUAUAAUUAAUUUUGCCUUUAUUUAAAUGUGAAACCAAACAUACACUAAAUUGAAGGACUUAUGAGAACUAUAAUAAUGAGCUCAAAGAGAUUCAAUUUCAUAGAUAUAGAUAUUAAUAUAUUUUUUUAUUAAUUUUAGAUUUUAAAUUAUCCUAAAUUUACAAUUUUAUUGAUUAAAUUUAUUGAUGUAUUUUUUUAAAGUCAUAAUUUGUUGAUGUAUUUGCAAUACACCAAGAGGAGAAAGACACAUCAUCACCCUCUAUGGUUAGUUAGAAUAAAUGCCAUAGCAGUUUACUGAGCUUACUUAUAUCACAAGUCAUUAAUAAUUAAUUAAGAAUUAGUUGAUUAGAGACCAAACUAUGAUUAACUACGUACUUAUAUAUUACACCAAGAGGAGAAAGACACAUCAUCACCAUCUAUGGUUAGUUAGAAUAACUGCCAUAGUAGUUUACUGAGCUUAUUUGUAUAUCAAGUCAUUAAUUAAUAAUUAAUUAAGAAUUAGUUGGUUAGAGACCAAACUAUGAUUAAGUACAUACUAGGCCGUAUGAUAAGGUGUACCAUGCUAUUCUUACGAUAAGUAAGCUUUGUAUUAAUGAAUCAAGAGAAAUGAGUUCUAUCAAAAUAAACUUAACGAGUUUAAUAAUGUACAAAAACUUCAAAGGUGGUAAUAAAUCAGUAAUAAAUAACAUUAUAACAUCCCUUAAAAAAAAACAACAACAUUAUAACACGUCCUUUAUGCUAAAGCACGAGUGGCUGGUACUGGACCAUAUACAUGUUGCAUCAGUACAUAACAAUAUUAAUCAUUCCUUUUAAAAAAAGAUUACUAUUAAUUAUUAAUUUGGAUCACGUGCUCUUUCUUAAGUGACGAUAAGAAAUGUCUUUAAUAAAGCUUACUCGUUUCAAAUCUUGAAUUGAUUUUUUUGCAUUCUUUGUGUAUACUGAUGGUACAUAAUAGACAAUAGAGAAGGGUACAAAAGCAUGCAUGAUUGAGCCAUUGAAGCAGCAAAAAAACAGACGUUGUUUUUUAAUUUUGGGUCCACAACUAUUCAUAAUAGAUUGGAAGGAUUAAAUAAAUUUUUUAUCAGUAUAAAUGUCUCAAAUUUCAUUUUUAUUUCCUCUAAAAUAUUUCAGGGAGUUUUGUUUCAUAAUUUUGAACUCGUGUACCAUUUAUAUUUUGAACAUUUUUUUAUAAAGAUGUUUAGAAUAUAAAUGAACUCAUGGUAAAUGUCAAUUUAAAUCCAAGCAACUCUUUUGUUAAAGCUCAAUUGUGAUUAGUUAGUUCACAUAAACUAUAAAUGAACGAUAUUUCCAAUACCUUUAAGUUUUGAUUGAAGAUGUAAUGUUCAAAUCAAUUAUGUUAUUGUUUUUAGCUUAUUUUGAUGAUCCUCUAGAGAUUUGGGCGCUCUUCACGAGAGUUGUGGGUUAGCUUGGUGAAAGAGUGUGAGUGAAUCCAAGAAUAAUUGCCGACGAGGAAAACUUUCACAUACAAGACCAUAUGAAUGAAAAAGUUUGAAUUCUGCUCCUCCCCCUGUACUUUUCGUUCGCGCCCUGCAACCAUAACGAAAAUACUCAUGCGUUAGUUAACUAACGCAAGUGUAAAAAACAUGACUUAGUUUUUUACACAUACGUGACUUAAGUCACGCCGCAUGAGUUAACUCACGCAAGUGUUACACCCUACGUGUUACACCCUGCGUGAGUUAACUCACGCCAGUUGCAAUUUUCAUGAAUGCUAUUAAUGGUGUCCUCUCUCUUCCAGCUUUGAAUGCUAUGCCGUUUGUUGUGGUGUUAGACUAUAGGCUGCUUACAUGCAUGUAGUUAUUUGAAGAUACAUCCUCCUUCAAAAAACAACAAAUGUUAAUAAUCCCGAAGAAAAAUAUUAAGAAAUCAGUAUAAUGCUAUGCCGUUUGUUGUGUUGCAAGCAUAUUAAGGAUGUGAAAGAAACAACGGUGCAGCCAAAUUAAGCCACGUGGCAGGUCAUGUAUCGGUUACGUAAGUGAGUACAUACAUGCAUUCACUUGAAUUUGAAAUAUAAGUACGUGAGUUAACUCACGCUGAGUGUAACACCUGCGUUUAGAGCUGUAAAAAAUGGGCCGGACUCAUGGGUCGGCCCAUUGGCCUAUAUUUUUGGGCCGGACGGACCUAAAAAACUAACCAAAAAAUGCACUCGGGCUUUUUUCGGUCUAAGCCCAUUUGGGCCAUACAAAAGUUGGGCCAGCCUGGCCCACCGGGCUUUGGGCCGGCCCAUUAGCCCAUAUUUCAUUUUAUUUUUGUUAAAAAACAACAUAUUUUUUAAUAAAAUUAUCAACUAAUUUAAAAUUUAUUAACAAAAAAAUAUUUAAAUAUAUAAACUUAAUAAAUAUGGAUGAAUUUAGCUUACAAUUUUAAAACUUUAAAGUUUAUAAAUUUAUUAAUUUGAUUUAUUGAAAGAAUAAUGUAGAGUUUAAUUAUUAUUCAAUGUUAAUGUAAAAAUUAUAUAUAUUUUUAUGUCCAUCCAAUCAUAUUUUAGCAAAAAAAUAAUGGUGAGUAACUAAUACAUAAGAAAAUACAUAAAAAUAAAUAAAUUUUAAAAAUGAAACAUAAACGGGUCAGGCCGGGCUGGACCAUGGCCCACCCGGGUCGGGCCGGGCUCUAGAAUUCACGGCCCAAUCAUAAAUAGGCCGGGCCGGGCUGGCCCAUUUCUAUAUUCGGGCCUCUCGGGCCCGGGCCGGCCCAUUUGACACCUCUACCUGCGUCAGUUAACUAAUGCUGCGUGACUUAAGUCACGCAUGUGUAAGAAACUAAGUCACAUUUUUUUACACUUGCGUUAGUUAACUAACGCAGGAGUAUUUUCAUCAUGGCUGCAGGGUGCGAGCGAAAGGUGCAGGAGGAGAGCAUAAUUUAAAAAGUUUUGGGUUCAGUGUAGUCUCGUAAUCUCUUGGUGGUCAUGAUAUGAUCAUUAUCUUGUUGUUGCUUAGGCCCCAUGAACUCUCCAACAAGCAUAUUAUACACACAAAUAUGUUAGAAAUUUGUUGUUCACACUUACCACAAAGUUAAAACACACCAGAAAAACUUUAUUCUAGUGUUUGAUUUUUCAUAAAUUUUUGUGAAGUUAAACAUGUUUGAUGUUGCACAAAUUGAAGGUCGUGUUCGAUACUCUGCUUUCAAAAAGACAAUUAAGGUUAUGCUAACUCCGACAGACACUAUUGAUGAUUUCAAGGCACAACUUAAUAAAUAUUUUGAGUAUUUCAGUGAAAAUCAAUAUACACAUCACAUAUUUGUUUAGAUGACUUGUGCAGACCUGAUAGCAGAUAAAGAUGAAGACAUGUGGAAAACGAUCUAUUUUCCUCGAGUUGUUCGUGAUGAUUGCGACGUAGGAUUUAUGUUUAGGCUCAUGGUUGAAGACAAUAUAUUAUAUCUUUGUGUUUGUUCCAUCUGCAUGUGUGUAGAAUGUCAAUAGAGAUUUUAUGUAAUGUUAUGUAUUGUGUUGUUUAAUUUCAAACACUCUUUUAUGUUUUGUUGAAUUUCAAACAUUCGUGUAAUUUUACGAAAUGUGAGAUUGAUUUAAUUUUAGUCAAUUGUGAAAGAUUAUGUAUUGUUCUCGUUUAUGAUUGAUUAUAACUGGUGUAUGAGUUGCACUAUCUCUGGAAUUGAUGUUGUUGAAUUAUUGGUAUAAAUGCGCCAGAAAUUGACCUGUGAAUACAUAGCAGGUUUUGCUUUAUGCAUAAUUCAUUGCAUCGGCAGUUAACUACCGAUAGAACCAACUUCAAUUAACUACCGAGGGGUUAAACCGAUCAUUUCCAUGUGUUUCUUAGCUUUGCUUCAAGUGGGAACAACAAUUUUCAAUAUGUCAGGAUAAAUGGGUUAUGUAUAUUUUUAACCCUUAUAAAUAUAUGAAAUUUUGUUAUAGUCCUUCCAAAAAAAUUCUUCAAACAAUGGUUCUAGCAAAAAAAAAUUAUCCUUGUUUUUAAGGCAACCGUAUGUUUAUAUAACAUAUAGAAAUUAUUUGAAGGACCAUUGUUUGAAGUAUUUUUGUAGAAGAAUUUAAAAUGAAAUUUGAAUUAUUUAUAAAUACCAAAAUCUUAUUAUUAUUAUUUUUAUCAAGUAGCCUAAUAACUACAAAUUUACCUCAUAUGAUAAGAUGUGGGGUGUUCAAGUUCAAACAUUGACCCUACAUAUAUUGUACAAUAUCCUUAUAACUCACGAGGAUGAACCACAAUCUUAUUUAACAUAUAUAGCAAAUCAUUAUUACUUAAACAAAUGCACUCAUAAUUAUGGUGAGUACCUUUAAAAAAAAAGGAGAAUACCAAGGAGAUAACCUUUAAAAAGCACUGAAUUUUUUGCCCAUCACUCCAUCAGAGUCAAAAUUUAAUACCAAAAAAGCGGUAGAUAUCUAAUAACUUCGCAUAUCAAUACCAAGGAGAAACUUAUUUGUUAAUAUCAAGAAGAAGUCUUAACUCAGCUUCUGUAACUGAAUUCUUAACCAAGCCUGCAUGCACAAGUUCAGUCAAGCUUUCAUAGGUCACACAAAAGCUAUAACUAAAGCCCUCAGGAAAUAUGUAACUUACCACAUUGAGCAUCUACCUUUUACUUAUAUUGGAAGUAACAAAAGAGCACCCAUAUCUUCAGAAAAUGAGUAAUAUAGUCUCAUCUUAAGCUCAUACUUCUUACUCAAAAUUUAAACAUGGUUCAAACGUAAUGUCAAGAUUAAUCCAAAGCUAUGUCUGUGGGGAUUACAGGAUAAAGAACAACAAAAAAACAACUAUUAUGUAUAUUUAAAAGUAAAACACACAAUAUAAAUUAAUGUAGCGCAAUAGUUUGCUAUUUCAUUCCUCACAUAAAUUUUUUAUCUACACUAAAAGUUAGCCACUUUCUCAUAAAUGGCACCGCUGUAUUGAUUGAGUGAAAGCGUAGAAUUUGUGACUACAUCAAAACCAAAUCAGUUCAUUUCACUGUGUCAAGAUGACAAUGGACAACAAGCUGUUGAACUCAAUGAAAGUAGACAGCAUCAUGCUGCAACUGUUAGAGUAAUUCUCUAUCUCCUGCCAUAUCGUUUUUGAUAAUAACUUGCCCUUAGAGGUGUUGCACAAUGAUCCUUCCAUAAAUUAACUGAAGGUUCAGAACCAGAACUAUUUAUACUAUUAUCUCCAUUCAGAAAAGUUGUACUUGUGUUAUGAGACAUACAAUCAUCCAUUACGAGUCUCUUCGAACUCUGCGAAGAAGACCUGUAAGUUUUGAGCUUAGCCUUAGUUGAUUCUGUCAAAUUCAUGUAGCUAGGCAGGUGAGCAUCUUUUUCCUCUGUUGCUUCUGGCAUAGAUGGAGAUCCAGAUGUACAUGAAGUUGAUAAAAUGCUAUCAUCAUUCAUGUAUUCGGAGCUUAAAGUCGAAGAUGAUGGAGUUUGCUGACAGAUUUUAAGAGCUGAAAUCCUAGUUGUCACACCAUUCCUUCUUGAUUGAAAAGUAGGAACAAGUUCUUCACUCUUCCUGCUUGAGAUUGGACUCUCCCAUGGACAUGGUUUGUUUGCCAUCCAGCGCUCUAACAAAUUAUUUCCUAAGCUCUUGUUGUCAAGGUUGUGAUGAUGCUUGAAAAGAGACACUGAUUUUGUGGAUUUUGAGUUUGGACUAGCACUUAUUCUUGACUGUUAAAAAGCAAGCAAAGAUAUAUUGGAAUUGGAACUAAACUAAAUGAAUAGAUAUUGUCAACACUUAAUUACCUGUGUGGAUAGAGAGUAUGCCAUUGCUCUAUCCCUCUUGAUGGCACCUUCUUGCCUCAUUCUUAGCUUUGCUUUAACUUCAUCUGCAGUUCCAGGAAUUUCACACCAUCCUUGCUGAUAAUAAUAAUAACAUGGCAAAUUAUCCCUUAUGUUAGCAUCUACUAUAACCUUGUAACUCAAAAUAACCAUUUAGAGAAUGUUAUGCAAUUAUUAUCUUGAAACAAAUUAAUUUGAUACCUCUACAAGCUUAGCAGAAUCAGCAUGGUUGCGAUGGUCAUCUAAUAGCUGCUGCACUGCUUUGCCUUCUGGAGAUUUCCUCACAUUCCUAGCUCUUACACGUGCCUGAACCCUAACCAGAGCUUGCAUGCACCUUAGAGUAACAGCUGCUUGUUUUCUGACUUGCCUGCCUCUAAAUAUUGCUUGCAGCCUCACCACUGCUCGCAAUGCUCUCAAAGCUCGUCUAGCCUUCAAGGUAUUUUAAAUAGAAAUAGAGGUAUGAUAUGAAAUAACUAAAUCAAUAAAAUGAAGAGUAUCAACAUAGAAAGAAAAUAAAAAAAGAGUGGCUGAUAUUUCUGCAAUAAAUCAUCAAAAUAUGGGCAGUGUUUAUGCUGAAUGAUAAACUCAGUUAUGCAUCAUAUUCCUCUGACAGAUUAUUAGCACCACAAGCAUACAAAAGAACCUAACUACUUAUGUUUCCCCAAUCCAAAAAGAGUAAAGGGAGGGAUUUUACAGUCAUAUUAAGGAGGACUAAAGGGUUGAAUUUCAAUUUGGUAAAGACGAGCUGUGAGCUGAUUUCAAAAUUUAAAAGAUGAUAAUACAAGGCCAUUAUAAGGUAAACUAAUUAACAUGAAGAUCAUUAGCAUAGGAAAAAACUAAGCACAAGAGACAUAUGCAAAAUAUACUGAUCAAAUCCUCUUAAAACAAUGUGAAAAAGAGUGGCUAAUAUUUCUGCAAUUUAUCCUAACAUUUGCUAGUGUUUAUAACUCAGUUAUGCAUUAUAUUCCCCUGGCAUAUUAGUAGUAAGAACCUAACUACCUAAAUCAUUCAACCCCAAUAAAGGAAAAAAGGGGGAAAAGUUUAGAUGACUUAAAAAGGACAAAAAAAGUUGACAAUUCAAAUUCAAAUUCAAAUUUUGACGCAGGUUGAUCUCAAAAUUCAAAUCAUGAAAACACAAAGGUCCAAUUUUUAAACUCACAAAUCCCAACUAUUGGUAGAUCUUGUAAAAAGUUAAUAGAACCUAAUCCCUGAAUCCUGAUCCUAAAUCGGACUUUGAAUUUCAAACUAGCACACUAUGAUAUGAACAAUAUUCACAGCAAGAAAAGAAAUAGUUACCAAGAAGGCUCGAAAAAGAGCCUGAAUGCGGAUAGCAGCCCAUUCCUGCCUGAUAAGGAUGAAAUCUUUAGGUGCAGCUCGAACAACGACAGCAACUGCAGCAGCAGUAUCUGUAAUGGAAGAAUCAGACACAGUCUUGUUGAUGGUUGAAGAAGAAGAAGAAGAAGAAGAAGUUUUCCAUAUCUUCCAUUUCUUCUUAGUACUACUACACUUUUUCUCCUGAAUAAACAACAUUAACACUAAAUUAACAACAACAAAAUAAAAAAGGAAAAAUAAAAAUAAAAAAGGGAUUGUUGUAAAUUUACUUGAUCGGAUUUCUUAUUGGAAAGAAGUGAUUUAAACCAUUUUCCAGAAGCACCCAUUGGAGAAAAGAAUCGAUUUUUGCAGAGUGGAUGAUGAAAUAGAUAGAAAGAUUUUUAGGGUUGUGUUGUGAAAUUGGGGGGUAUGUAAAAAGAAACACAGAGAGAGAGAGAGAAACAGAGAGAAAUUUGAAAUUUGAAAGUGUAGGUAGGUGGUGGUGUCGUCGUCUUACGUUUGAUUUGUUUGUGUAAGAAAAAGACCGUAACGUGUAACGGUACCCAAAUAAGUCAACAUCAAAACUCAGCUUUCUCGCCCAACGCGCUCCGAGUUAACUCACCAUUUUACAUCAACAUUUUGAAUCUAGCUUUUGUCUUUAGAAAUGCUGCUAAAGAAAACAAAGAUUUUAUAGGGAGCAUUUCCUUGAUUAACUCUUACGCUCUAUUUGGAUUCAGGGUUUAGGAGGAAAUGGAGGGAAAGGUUCAAUUUUUUUUUUUUAAUAUUUAGAACAAUGUAAAAUGUUUUUUUUUUUUUAAAUAAAUCAAAUAUUUUUAAAGUAUUAUAUGAUUAUUUAUCAGGUUGUUAAUUCAAUUUUCUAAAAAUCAUUUUAUAAUGUUCGUAAUUUAAAAAAGAAAAAUAAGCCAUCCCCUCUCUUCCCCUCCUAAACCCUUCAUCCAAACACACCCUUAUUAUUUUAGGUUUAAAUAUGUUUUUAGUCCUUGCACUUUCAUCAGAUUUUGACAUUGGUCCCUACACUUUUUUUUUGUUUGGAAUUGGUCCCAGCACUUUGUAAAAAUAUUGGUAUUGGUCCCUCUAUUAACUUUCUGUUAAAAAAAAAAAAAAAAACUAUUGGUAUUGGUCCCUGCACUUUGUAAAAAUAUAGGUAUUGGUCCCUGCACUUUGUAAAAAAUAUUGAUAUUGGUGCCACGUGGCGUGAAAUGAUUGGGCCACGUGGCACUCCGUUGGUUUCCCUGCACUUUGUAAAAAAUAUUGAUAUUGGUGCCACGUGGCGUGAAAUGAUUGGGCCACGUGGCACUCCGUUGGUUUUGUGUUUUUUUUUUAACAGAAAGUUAACAGAGGGACCAAUACCAAUAUUUUUACAAAGUGCAGGGACCAAUGCCAAACAAAAAAAAGUGCAGGGACUAAUGCCAAAAUCUGAUGAAAGUGCAGGGACCAAUGACACAUUUAAACCAUUAUUUUAUGUGAAUUAAUUAUCUAUACGUCACGUAACUUCAAAGAUUAAUCAUUUAAGUCGAGUAAAAUUAUAAUGUAUAACAAAGUUUUCUUUCGAUAGAUCUAACACUGUUCAUCUGUUUUCUAAACUGAAUAAUAGGAAUUCAGACCUCUUGUUAAAUUGAAAAUAAUCUCUUUACACUCUCAUGCAAUGCUCUUUGGUGUAUUUUCUUUUGCGUCAUAAGAGCAGAAAAUAAAUUGCUAAAAAAUAAAAUUGAACAAAGAAAUUUUGUAUUUAAAAAAAUAAAAUUAUAGCCUAUGAGAUUCUAAAUGCAUAAUUCUGAAUAUUUUAUUUCUAUAUUUGAUUUCUUAACAUGUGUCUUAUGCCAUAAAUCAACAUUUUUAACUUGUGCCCUUAAUUAUGCUACAAAUUAACAUCUCUUUUAUUAUUAUUUAUUACGUGUUAAUUUGUCAUUUAAUGAUAAGAAAUGACACCGUUCUAAGAGCCACGCAUUUAUUAAUGAUGUGAUUAUUGGAUCCUCUACACGGUCCAAGUCCUACAAAACUCACUAGAAGACCCAAUUUUCUUAGAUUGUGGCCCCAUAAAAUUGAUAGAAGAAAAUUUAGAGUAUUUCUUUUUCCUUCCUAAUGGUUUUUUGCACGGCCUACUUAUUGACGCAUAAUUUUUUAUGCGAACAACUAAGUUUAGAGUUGUAGAUCAAGAGCAUACUACUCUCAUUUUAAAUUUGCUUUCAAAAUUAAUGCACCUAGGUUAAGAUUAGAGCUAUCUGAUCUUGACUUAAUGACUUUAAGAUAAUGUUUAUAUGAAUGAGAAUUUUUUUGACUACACGCAAUACAAAGAUUAUGAAAAACAAAUAGGAGAGUAAGAAAGAGAGGUGAAUAAUUUUUUUUUCUAUCAUAUGUGACUUUGACUUGCAACAAUGUAUGAUUAACCAUCCCCUCAAAACUAUUGGACAAGCAACUAUGAAGUUGAAGACAAUACAACACAAAGAAUGGCCAUGAAAAACCCAAAUAAAAAAUAAUAAUAUUGGGUUUUCUCCUUUAUGACCUUUAUCUUCCUAUAUUAUGUACUAAUAUAAUAUGUAAUAUAUACUACAUUCCAAAUAUUUAUGCUAAAGUUAAAGUAGUGUCUAUGCACAUGAAUGCCUCAUAUGUAGCUGGAACAUUGAACUAGAUAAGUUCCAUAUUUUCAAGUCUAUGUGACAGAUGAACUUCUGGACUGGCUCUUAAAGAUGGAAUGGUUGUUUUGUCUUCAAAUGUUCCAUUGUUGACUCUUGGUGAUGGAUUAAGAUGUUCAAGUGCCUGAAGUUGAAGUUUUGGUGGGUACUCUCUUACAUAACCAAUCCUAGGACCAACACCAGUAGUCCAUUUGCUUGACAAUGCCUUGUUAUUUUCCACAUUGGUAUCAAAGUUCCCCACAUUUUCUAUGUACUCAAAGUGAAGCUCCUCAACCACAGGUUUAUUGGGAGGUAUAAUAUCAUCAUCAACUGGAUGUUUCUGCAUGAGACAACAACAUAAAAAGGUUCAAGAUUCGACAAGUUGAUGAUGCUUGUUGAGAUAAGGCUUAAUUUUUUUAUGAAGAAUCGUGUCACAAGUUGAAUUUGUAAGGUUGAGUUAAACUCAAAGUACGAAACUAAUAAAGCUAGAGUGAAAGUUGAUGCUUCGACAUGAUUAUUCACCUUUACAUUUGUCAUAUUAUCCACAUGAUGUUCCUCCAAGAAGCGAAUGAAUUCCUUAAGAUUCUUCUCUGUUGGACGAUAGUGGCCACUAUAGGGCCAAAUAACCUGAAUAAAAUGUAAAUGAAGAUCAAUUCACAUGUAAAUGAAAUGAAAUGUGUAUCUCAAUUCCAUACAUGAAGAUCAAUUCCAUAACAUUCUGUCAUGUUGCUAAGAGAUUUCCUCUUUGUGUCUUUAAAUUUAAAAAAAAAAAAAAAAUUAUAAAAUUCUAUUUUAAGGAGGGGCAUGUCACAUGUGUGAGAAAAAGAAUGUAGCAUACAUGAAGUACUCCAUUGUGUGCAACAAUUCUUCCAGAUGCAAUGGUAGGAGCACCAGCUACAAAACUUGAGUGUUGAAAUUUGCCUUUUUCCUUCUGUCCAACAUACAAAACUCUAGACGAGCUAAGAACAAAAAUCCACUUAGAUCCGUCGGUUGUGUGUACAAGGUUAUUGCUUUGUUUGUAAACAAGCUUGCCUCCUUCCACAAUCACUUCAUAUGCUUCCCUCUCUAUCUGCAAAUUGCAAGCAUCAAUGUUGAAGUUGUUAAUACAACAUAAAAAUUUAGUGGCAAACUUUGAAAAUUAUAAAAUAGUUUGAUAGUCUGAAAUGCUCAUAUUAACUAGAGUUAUUGAAUGCAAUGUGGGUGAAUGAAAAAAUUUACAGGUCCAAGAUAGUUUAUUCGUUGCAUUUGCAAUUUCUUUCUUGAACAUAUGUCAAGAUUGACUUUUUUUCCAUCACCAAUAUCCAACCUUCAUGUGAGCAAAACAUGUAUUAAGACAUUACAAAAUAUGGAUCAAAAUUCAAAAGUUAUAUUCAAAUCCGUAUAUACUAGUGCUUGCUCAGUUAAUAUUUACCAGUAGAAAAAGGGUUGAGAACUCUGACACUUAAACCAUACAUCAUAAUAGAAAUGCAGAUUGUGUCCAUAGCGAUGACGAGGAUCAAUCUGCAAAAUAUAAGAAAGCAUUAGCCUCGGUAAGUUUAUUUUCUUGGAGUCCAAGAAACCAUAUGAUAAAGCAAUUACAAUGUAGAAGUAUGAGCUUACAGCUUCAAGCCAAUGUUUUCGAGCUAAUCUUUGCGCAUUAUCAUCUUUGGAUAAUCCUCUUCCCAUCUACCAACCAAAGAAAAAAGAACUUUAAUUUUCCAAAGAAGACUAAUAUGAACCUAAACAUUGAAGGAAGCAUAUAAAAUGUAACCCCUUAAGAGUGAGCAUGUUUGGAUUGACUUAUUUAAUCUUAUUUAUUGGUAUUAAUACUUGUGAGACUAUUUAGUAGAGUUUAUGAAAACAACUUACGGCAUGUUCUUAAGUUGUUUUUAGCUUACUUCCAUAAGCUCUUCAGAAUAGCUUAUGAAAACAGUUUAUUACUUAUAUGAAAACAGCUUGACUUCAUUUUAUCUUUUGGUAUAGAAAUAACAUAUAAAUCAACACUUAUAUGAUAAACGCUUAUGCUAUAAGCACUUAAUUAAACUAUGAUAUACCUUAGCAGCCAUUGUCCUUGCAGUUGCCCAUUUUGAAAUAGCUGAUUCAGAUUUAUCAGAGUCAAAAUGUGAUAUCAAGCACUUUUGAAAAGCAGAAGUUUCUGAACCCGUCCACCUGAAGCAGUGAACAAACUUAAGAAUCCAUUUUGGAAAGUACAAUAAGCAGCACUAAUCACUCACUCAUAACUUAAAUAUUGGAUUGCACUAACCAUAGCUCCUCGCAAACAACGGCCAAAUCUGCUAAAUAUCUUCGAAUCCUAUAACUCUUGUAAACUUUCUGCAGCUUUGUCGCAGCUAAAUCACGGUCAGAAUCAGUAAAUGGAGAAGAAAAUAACAUCACUACUUCUGGUUUUUUCGGUAACAAAGAGUCCUCAACUUCAUCUUCUGUAUCAGAAUUAUUCUGUACUAGAUAUUUGCAUGACAAUGCUACCUUCAAGCCUAUACACUCUUCUUCAAUAGUAGGCUUAUAGAAAGUAUUGAAAUUAAUGUCAUUGCUGAAUUUCACUUUGUUAUCUUGUUCCUUGCUUAUAGCUAACAUCACCAUUAAUUUCUACACAAGAAACAUAUCCAUAAGCUAAGUAAUUAACUAAUAUUGGAAACUUGCAAAGUAAAUAUAGAAAGUUGAGAGACAGGCUCACGUGGAAGUAAAAUUUCAGCUUCUUUAUAAUUUUCAUCUAUACACAUAAGUUUACUCUUUGAAAUAUAUAUACUGCAUAAGUUUGAAAGAGAUAUUAGCUUCAAAUAUGCAAAGAGAGACAUGUAUAUUGCAGAAAAUUGAGACCUUUUGGUAUUUGGCCUAUGUGAAUAUAAAACUAUAUAAGGAGAAUUAGUUGUGUUACUUGCAAAGAAAGUCCUAUAAAUUGAGUUAUUUGGAAUAGAAAACUAUAUAUUGAUUAUUAGAUUAAUUCAACAACCAAAGUUUUGCUAGAAAGGGCAUAUAGAAUCUUUCUUGACAUAAUCAUAAAAAUAAUAACUACCAAUCAAAAGACCACUUUUGUCAAAAUAUGAAAGGACCAUAGUAGUAUAGUACAUACAAUUAGAAUAUGGGUUUUUGGUACAAUUUUUUUUUUUUUUUAAUAUUUACAAUUUUUUUUUUGAAGGAAUAUUUACAAUUUUAUUGUUUUCAUUUUAUUUCCUUUCUCUUAUACAGUUUUUAAAAGAUGUGCCAUAAAAUACAAAUAAAGUCACACUUUUUUUUAUAUAACUACUAGCAAAAAUAAAUAAACAAGCUUGAACCAGUGAGAAUCUAAAUUUCAUCACUACUACAAAAAUACACCCCGGUCAUUAUUUAUUAUAAACAAAAAAUCACUUUUUAAGUUCAUUGAAUAAUUGAUGCAUAUGAUCUGAAUUAUUGAUCAGAUACAUCAGUUAUUCAAUGAACCUAAAACAUUAUUUUUCUCUUAUAAUAAUAAUUAGAUGGUGUAUAUUUUUAUAAAACGUACGUAACCCUAAUAAAAAUAUUACAAAUAAUUAUGUUUAUCCAUAUUUUUCUAUUGUAUUUUGAUGUAUGUAUAUUAUUUUAAAAUAUUUACUUUAAUAUCAUUAAUGAGUUUCUGUUUUAUGAUAUAUAUCAUAAAACAAAAACAAGUUAUAUCUAUGCACUACCUAUGUGUGUAUACACACGUAGUGCAUAUAUUUUUUUUUUUUGAGGGAACGUAGUGCAUAGAUAUAACUGGAGUACUUAAUUUUAAUGUGGUAUUUUUUCUCUCAAUUAAACCUUUUUUAGCUAUUGCAUUUUCGAUUUUAUCCUUUUUACAAUAUUAUUUAAAUAUUAGUUAAACUUCAUUGCAAUAAGAACGAUCUCACUGCUGCCCAAAAAUUUAACGUAAAGACAAUCUCACUGCAAUAUCACCAAUAUCAUUUAUAUCUUUAUUUUGGUCUUAUUUCCCUUUUUUUUAAUGGAAAUUUCUCAUUUUUUUAAGCAAAAUAGAGUACAAUAGUAUCUUGUGAAAGAUAUGACAUCCUAACUAUAUUGAUUAUUGACACCUAUCUCAUCCACCUAUUAUUUGCAACACUCUAGAAAUAUAAUUUAAUUUAUCAAAAAUACUUGAUUGUGGUAUAUGUAAUUUUUUUUUUAAUAUUAUUAGCAUAAAAAUAAAUAAAUUUAGUAUUAGAUGGAUAAAAUAAAUUUACAAUAAAACACAACAGAAAAUCAAACAACCAACAAUGUUAAUGUUUGUUUUUUCGACGGUAAUGAUGUGCGCGCAUGCACACACACAUAAAGUGCAUCUUACCUAGCUGCAUGUAUUUAUAUAAAAUGAAAAUUGCUUGUAUAAAUAAUCUCUUAUUAGAAAGUAGGUUGAUGAACUUACUCUUAUAUAGUCCCCAAGCUUAAUAUAUAAAGCAUUUUAAUAAGAGAUUAUAAACACAUGUAAUUAUGUAAGAUGCACUUACUCUUACUAUAAUCCCUUAUUAAUAAAAAUAACUUUAAUUUUAUUGAAAGUGCAUCUUCCUCUUGAUAAUGAUGUAGAAUAAAUAAUAUCACUUGAAAAAUGGGUUGAUGAACUUACCUUUAUAUUUCCUAAGCUUGAUAACGUGAGAAGGAGUAAAUUUGAGAGUUCACUAGACUUUGAAGUUAGAGCAGUGGCAGUGGCAGUGGCAGUUAUGAGUGAUACAUACGAAAUCUAACUAUAGUUUCAAUAAACAUCAAAACUGUUUCAUCCAAUUUUUGUUCCUUCAAUUGUUUAUGGUUUAUAUUUUCUUCUCUUAGUUAACACAAUUUCCUAAUAUUAAUGCUUCUUCACUAAGACUACUAUAUAUAUAAUUGUGUUUAUAGUGAAUAUUUAGUAUUAAUAACUAGUACUAAGGUAUGACAACCGAGGACACUCACUGGUAACUGCUUCUAUAAAAUAAACAAAUGUCACAAAAUGAAUAACUCUCUACCGAAUCACUUCUCAGGUGUUAUAUAUUUAUAAUACUAUAAAGUUUGUGUUUGGCAAAUGGCAUUAUCAAAGCUGUUUUUUUUUAAUUGAUUGGUUCCAAAUUUUUGUUAACUAAUUAAGCUCACAUUCACUAGGAAUUUGUACAAAUAAAAAUGUAAGUAAUAGAAUGAUAAGUUGACCUGAAUUGGCUCUUGCUAUUUAGAACUGGCCACAAGUAACAUCAAAUAUUGGUGACCCCCUGCUUGCUGGAAUAUUUGUGAUUGUGAUCAAUGGCUUUUGCUUCUCAGAAAUAGCCACAGAUGACAUCAACAGGUCACACCCCCUGCAUGCUGUAAUAUUAGUACAGUAAUAUUUUGUGUGAUAAACUUUCUAUGCACGCAUUCACUAAUCAUUGGUAAUUAAUUGAUGUCACCGAUUAAUUAGGAGGAAUAAAGGAUUAGCAUCUCAAGUUAUUUGUCAUUGGCUUUUUAUUUUGUUUUUAACCCAUCUCUUUCUAGGAGAUGGAACUAUGAUAGUAAUAUAUAAUUCGGAUGGGAGGUAAGUAAAAUCUAAUAGAAAUUUUUGUUAAAAAAAAUCUAAUAAAAAUUAUUUUUGUAAGAAUUUGAACUCAAGUUAUCCUAAACGAUUUGUCUUGAUUAAAGUUUAUUAACAUUUGGGUUCAAUUGUUUGAUUUGAUGUAAAGUAAUGAUCGAGAAAUAUGGCUGAAAAUAAUAAAUUAAUAGAGGUGGCCUAAUUAAUUUAGUUAAUUUUAAUAAAAAUUAAUAUAACUGCUCCAAUUAUUUUCAUAAUUUUUGUAAACAUUAUUAUUAGUGUUAGAUGUUUGAAUGUGAGGUUGGUUUAGGAAAUACUUAUAUAUUUUUUAUAGUUUAUGAAUAAAAUUAUAGAGUGUGAUAGUUUAAUGACUAAAUUGUUGUAUACAUUUUUUUUAAGAGAAAUUAUAUUUGUACAAUCAUUUUUCGACAAUUUUUGUGACAACUUUCUUUCACAUAUUCAUAUUAUGUUUACUUUCUCUCUUUAUUGCUUGAUUUUUGUGUCAAUACAUCAUUUUCUUUGUAAAUUAUGGUUGUCAAUAAAAUGGUUGUUCAAAUAACACAACUCUUUUUGUAAUAGUUUAUCUCUCUUCCGUAACAAACAAUUGUCGAUCAUCAAAAUGACUUGUACACUUCUUUUAACAAUUGUAAAGCAAAAUAAAAUUUAUUCCAACUUCACGAUAAUCAAAAUUUAACUUUAUUAAGAUUUAACUUCCCUCCAACUCCUCUAAUCAAAAUUUAAGUUUCAACUAUGACUUCAACCUAUACUAAAUUUACAAUGUAUUUGAAUGUUGAGAUUGCACUUUUGUAAGAUUUAAGUAAGAAUUAUCAUUAACAACCCGGAAAAUAUUUGAUUUGAUUUCAACUAUUCAUGGAACUAAUUAAUACUUUUAACAAGUUUUAUUAACAUCUGUAUCCAUGAAAAAUAACUGUCCUAAAAAUAAGGCCAUUUGCAAACUAGAACAAGAUGUAUUUUUUUUUUUUUGAAGGAAAGAACAAGAUGAAUUUAUUGUUCAUUUUUAAAAUAUAUUCCUUAUAUUAUUAUAUCAUCAUUUGGUCUUGAAUUAUGAAAAAACCAAUAUUACACCCACAAAAAUGUAAUUUCAUAAUAGUUAAAAUUCUUCUGUUUAGAACGAUGUCAACAUGAAUCAUUGCACCAUCUUUAUUUUUAGCUUUCUUUUCGUUUUGCUUUUUGUUGGGAAUCAAAUGUAUGUAUAAUUAUAAUGUAAUAUAGGUGCACUUGGUUGAUGGUUGCCUAUAUGCCUAUCCCUGCUUACCCUCUAAUAUGACUGAUGGAUGACAUAUUCAUACCAUUUUGACUAACCUUUCUUUAACAUUUCCUAGGUUGAAUGAAUUGUCAUUACUUUAGUUGUUUGUUCAUACCAUUUUUAUUAAAUUACUAAUGCAUCUGAAUUAGCCUAGGGCUAGAGUUUGUUAUAGUACAAAAACGUCCACUUUCUGUUUCUGAUUCCUCAAUAAAGCUCUGCGCAUUUAAAUGGCAAUUUAACUUAUAGUACCUUUAUUCUAUGUUACUAACUAACCUCAUGCAUGUUCGGACCCACACUAUUAGGCUUACCAAGGAUCUGGAUUCCACUUGAUCUAAAAUGAACGGUCAAAAUCUUAAAUUGUGUGAAAUUUCUAAAAUCCAUGCUUCAUAAUUGUAACCGUUGGAUAAUAGAUCUAAGAUCGAGAUUGAAAACCGCAGGUGGAUAGGAUCCCGGUCCGGCUCACAUGUUCAAAAGAUGUUUUCAAAGUUCAUUAGAGGACCCGGGUGACUUAUCCAAAUAAGUUCUGUAAAAACUGUUUCAGUCCUUGUUAGAUUAAAAUUAAGGUCUUCAAAUUGGCCUCUUCAUAACAAAUUUCUACAAAUUAAAAUUGGAUCUAUUUCUUGUCACUUUCAAAAGAAGCAGUGUAAAACACUCCAAAGAUGUACCAUAAUAAAUACUAACGUAACUAAAAUCUGAUAUUCAUUGAAUAUGAGAAUAUCUUGGACACCCAAAUUAAAUGCAAUACAAAAUGAAUGGCCCAAAUUAGAUAGAUAUUGGUAAAGAGGACUUAUGCCUUAUCUGUGCCCCCAACAACCAACUCAUAGAAAAAUUGACCCUAAUAGUACAACAGCAUUUAAUCCACUAAUAACAAACUCAUUAAAUAACAAUACAAUAUCAUUGAUGAUUUGAUUUCUUUCUUCUGUAUAUGGUAAUAAUGACAGCAUAUAUCAGUAAAGACAGUAACUAAAAGACAAAGACUAUGCAGUCUAGGUGUCAAAAAUAUUAUUAUUAUUAUUUUAACAUAUAGUAUAAGUCGAUAAGAUAAUUAUAGGUGUAUAGACUCAAAAUGGGUGCUGUUAUUCUGAACAAAUAGAGAACCAAAUAUAGCAGCACCCUUUUAGAUUGAUUUGAGAGAGAAAGAGAAAGAGAAAUAGGUUUGGCUUGUAUUGAAAGGUAAGCAAGAAAUCCAUCCAAUGUUAUAGGCAGUGGAGAAAACAGACUAGUCUUAUAGUCUUAGAAGUUGUCAAAUGAAGGUGAAACUUGUUCAAGUUGUUGAUCACUUGUGUGUUUGUAAAGCAAAAUAUUAAACAGUCAUCUUUUUGGGAAUAACAAACAAGCUAGUGUGAUUCACUUGUGUUAUAGCCUUUUCAUUUCACUCCCUUCUUAUAUAUAUAUAUAUAUAUACUCUACAAUUCAGCAAUAAUCAUCACACCUUGUAUCUUGUAAUUGUGAAGGAAAGAUUAUAAACAUCAUCAUCAUUUGAUUCAUCAUUUCAGCUUAAAAUGAAAGGAAGAUUGUUUUGUUUCAUUUUAGCUCUGCAGUUACUAAGUUCUGUCUCUGUGGCUAAAAGGGCUUUUCCUUCAACUGAUGCAAUGUCACAUCCAGGUAAUUAGUUAACCAUAGCACACCAUUUUUAUAGAUAUAUACCUUAAUUUAAUCAUUAGUAUUUUUAAGUACUAACAACUGAUAUAUGCUUCAUUUGUAUUUUGUAUAUAUGAUGAUUAGGCCCAGGAGAGGCACCAGCACCACACCAAACCAUAGAGUCAAAAAAGGUGUGUCUUCUAACAUUAUGUAAAUUUGGAUGCAUUGUAUUGUAUUAUAUAUCUUAAUUAACAUAUAAAUACUUGAAUUUUAAAUGAAGUCGGAGAAAAUGAAAGAAGUGGUAUAUGAUGAUGAUAGAGAUAUUGGGAUAAGCAGCAACAAGAUAGGGUCAAGUCCACCAAGCUGUGAGCACAAGUGUUAUGGAUGCAAUCCAUGUGAAGCCAUUCAAGUUCCAAGUACUGAAAGCAGUAAGAGAAAUCAUUUGGGUCUUCAGUAUGCAAAUUAUGAGCCUGAAAGCUGGAAAUGCAAAUGUGGUCCUUCCUUCUACAGUCCAUGAUCAUUCUAUAUUCUAAUAUUAAUUAUUAAUUAUCCAUUAAUUCAAUGUAGUAUAUAGUUCAUCUGUUAGGUUCAUAUUAUAUAUAUUUUCUUCCCUUUGUACAAAUAUUAAAGUUCAAAGGAUUUCAUUAUUAUUAAUUAAUUUGUGGUUGGAAUUGUUGGAUGACUUAUUAUGCUACAGAGCCUUGUAGAACUUUUUGUUUUUUGUCAAACUAGAAAAGGAAAAAUGGAUAAUUUUUUUUUUUUUUGAAAGAGAAAUUAUGAAGAAAAAAAUAUUGACGAAAAAAGAACAUUCAAUUCUAAUAAUUUUACUAGUGUAGGCCACUACGUCACUUUGACAAAAGAAAAAAAUACAAUACCUACCGUUACUAAUAUAUGUAAAACUACAAAUAAUGCUUAUAAAAAGUGACAGGGAGUACCAAUUAUCAGUUAUGAGAUCAUUCUCUAUUUUAUCAUUAAACUAAAACAUAACAAAUUUCAUACAUUGAACAUAGUCCUAGACAUACAACACUUCAUUCAAAUAUCAAUAAAAAAACAAUCAUAUUGAUGUUAUCAUGAUAAAGUGAAAACUACUUGUGUCACCACAUAUUAACAUCGCAAGGCCACAACACUUGGUAUCUAAAAGGAUGUGUAUUUUUCCACUUGAUUUUACCCUGCCACAGCAUCAUCGUCAUCUUCUUCUUCUUCUUCUUCAAACUCCUCCUCCUCCUCCUCCUCCUCCUCCUCAUCGUCAUUGUUUUGUUCCUCAUCCUCAUCUUCUUCAUCAGUAACAAUGAAGCCUCCUAGUGUCUCAUCAUCAACGUCAUCAUCAUCAUCUUCUUCUUCUUCUUCAUUUUCAUCCACACUAGUUGCUUUCUUUCUUUUUGAAUUACUACUAUCUUUGAUAUCUCUGUUAGGUCCUCUAUUGUCUUUAGACCUCGUGGAGUACCUAGGUUUCUUACCUUUCCCAACCUUAGCAACAAGUUCCUUAUCAUCUUCACUAUCACCAUUCCACACGUCAUCCUCGUUGUCUCUAAAUACUUUCCGCUUUCCCUUUAUUUUCCUUUUCUCCUCAAAAUCAUCCUCAUCCUCACUUUCUUUGCUAGGCUCCUCGAGGAACCACUCCCAAUUCUCCACAUUCCGGAUCAUGCCCUUUGGAUACUGGUCAAACUCAUGCCUCAUAACAAGAAAACCAAACUCUGCAUUUUCAAAAUUACUGUUUCAUCAAAAGUAUCCCAAAAGCUAUCACUGUGAAUUCAAAAAACAAAUUCAUGCGUAAAUGGUAAAAAAAAAAAACAUCAAGUGAACAAUGCUAAACAGAAUUGAAUUAUACUACCCUUAGAAGGUUACACAGCCACAGGCACUUACAAGAUAUAAUUGAAUAUCUUUAUCACAAACAACCAAAAAUUAUAUUUUAAAUGAUGUACAUCACCAAAAAUUAUACCAUUGUUGACAUGAAUUCAGCAAACUUGAAGAGUCGUCAACUUGAAAAUCUCUUUCUCAAGGAAAAACUAGCUUUUUUCGUGAGGUACAAAACAAACCAGUAACCAUUUCAUUUCCAUUUCUAACCCCACACUCAAGUUCGAAAGGCAACAAAAAUUCUUACGCAGAAUAAUCCCAAUAUAGGUAGUAUUCGAGUUGAUACUUCUUAACUUUAAGUCCAAGCAACCAAAUUUGCAAAAGGAAUGAAGCACCAAGAAACAAUAAAAUUGAAAGAGCAAAACUUGAUCCCAUACAUAAUAAUAUUGGAAUCUGUAACCAACUAAAAAGGAAGGCAGGAGGCUAAUAGUAUAGAAGAAGGAAACACCAUACCUUAUAUUGAAUAUGAAAUCAAAUUAUACAUGUCCAUAAAAGGCUAUUAAGCUAUCAUAACCAAAUGAACACAAAAAUAAACUUUAAAUCAUAAACUAUAGUACUCAUGGUUAAAUUAGUUUUAGGCCAUGUUUGGAACUUUGGAUAAACAACUUAAUUAAGCGCUUAAAGCAUACAUACUCACCAUAUAAGUGCUUAUAUAUAAGCUAUUUUUUAUAACAAAAGAUAAAAAUCAGUCAAACUAAUUUCAAAUAAACUAUAAGCUAUUUUCACAAGCUAUCCCGGAGAGCUUAUUGAAAUAAGUUAAAAACAAACUCAUGGAAAUGCUUUGAACUGUUCUCAUAACUUCUCCAAAACAAUCUCACAAAUGUUUAUAACGAUGGAUAUUCUUCAACAAAUUAAUCCAAAAAAGACCCUUGGAAUUAUACUAUCCUUAAAAGGCUACACAAAUUUACCUAAAACUUGCAACUCAUGUACAAAACAAACUCUCAAACUCUACAUGUUGAACAAUGUACUACAUCUACAUUGCAAAUCCUGCUAAGGAAAUGUCAUUGACAUGCAUACAAUCAUCAACUAAGACAUUUAAUUUUAUUUUUCAGCUAAAAAAACUUGCUUUUCCAAUUAUUGAUUUUGUUACAACAACAAAAACAUCAUCAUCAUCACUCAGCAAAGCAACAAAAUUGAAACAAAAAUAGUUUCCAUCAAAAAGGGUCAAAGUUAUUACCUUUAAUAGGAUCAAUUUGUGAAAUAUCAAGUUGAUCAAAUUCAAUCUCACUCUCAGAAUCUUCACUCUUGUUCAAAUUGAACCAAAAGGGUGUUUUGGCAGACAAGCAAAAACGGUCACCAAGUUCCAAAUGACCCAUUUCGAAUUUCUUGAAGAUCUUAAGCGUUUUGUCAUUGUUCUUCAAAACCCAGAUGGGGUUUCUUCCAAUGACUUGAAAUGAAACCUUAGGAGGUUCUGAAUCAGACUCGUUGUUGAGUUGGAACGAAACGUGACGGCGAGAAACAGUGUGGUCUUUUGUGUUGAAACCACAACCUCGUCCGAACAGUGCUUUGUCGCUGCUUUGUAAAGAGAAUUUGGAACCAUCUUCGCCUUCGAACUCCAUUCAGAAUUCUUUAGAAAUAUUUGGCGGUGAAAAGUAAUAACCUAGCACCGUUAAUUCUAAAGAAAAUAUAUAUAUAUUAAUGACUUAAAUAUGUAAACGGUUCUUGUAAGUUCGCGCAUUUUUGGUUUGGUCCCUGCAAGUUUUUUUGUUCUAAAACAAACCAUCUAUUUUGAUAACCUUUUGGAAAAGGUACUUGCCCAUCAGCUUCCGUCAACAAAAACGCUAUGGUGGCUAACAGAGCACACGUGGCAGGUCAUGAGUUGGAAAAAUUGAUGAGAUGGUAUGAGAGAUGAUAAGUUGCAAGAGUACAGGGACUAAAAUAAAAAACAUAAAUUGACACAGGGAAGAAAUUAAAAAACGAAAACAUCAAAAUUUGAAUUAAAAACCAAACUUUCAGUCUUCUUCUUCCUCUCAAAUACCAGUCUUCUUCUUCCGCUCAAACUUUUCUCAAUCUUUCCCAUACCUUGCUCCCUUGAACCAAAACUCAUCUCCUUCAACAAUGUCUUCUAAUUCCAUUACUCAAUCAUCAUCCAAUGAGUUACCUAUGUGCGGUUGCAACAAAAUUAUGAGAAUGUUCAUAUCCAAUUCACUUGACAACCCUAAAAGGAGAUAUUGGAAAUACACAACCUAUAUGGUGAGUUUGCUGUUGUAAUACUUUGUUGUUCUCUUAUUUUUUCACAUUUUAAUUAGCUAAAUAUGUUUGUUUUCAUCUCAGGCUGCUAGUAGUUAUAAAUUGGAAUGGUACUCCGGCGAUGAAUAAUUGGAAGAGUAAUAAUUUGAAGGGUACAUAUGGCGAUGUGUAGUGUCGAUGUUGCGGCAAGCUACGAUGGUGCUCAUGCAAGAUGUGUUGGCUUCGAGAAGGAUGAGGACACAUAAGGAGACACACAAAACAAUAAUAUAUAAAUUGAAAUUUGAAUUUGAUAAAUUAGCAUGGAUUGCAAUUAAAUUAAUUGAAAUUCUGGAUUGAAUUGACAUGAAUUGGAACUCCACGGGAAUAAAUUGGCCACAAUUCAUGAGAUAUCUAUCAUGGCUAUUGCAUGUGGAUAAAAGGCUAGAAUUAUGCAGAAGUUGGAACUAAGCAUUGUGUCUAGUAUAGGACUUUUUUAAACAAACAUUUGUAAAUUAUACAGAAGUUGAAGCUAAGAACAGUAUCUAAUAUAGGACUUUUUUAAACAUAAGUAUUUGUAAAUUUGGCUGUUUUAUUAAGAGUUCCUGGCCUUUGUUGCGUACAUGCUUUGUAGCUUUGUAUACUGUAAUAUUUCAGCAGCUUAAGAGAAAUCAAAAGGCUUGUUUGCAAUGUUAUAAUCAAGGUUUUAAUAACAUGACACAGUUUAAAAGUGAUGGUACUUUUUAGGAUGUGUAUAACUAUACUUUGUUGCACUAUGGAGAAGCUUUAUAAAUUUUAAAAUCUGAUCAUAUUUUAAAUUGUUGGAGGAAAUGAGUUUUUCCUUCAAGGACGCAAGGUGAUGGGAGAUUGGGGAAAUAUUCAGAGGAAGAAGGAAGAAGAAACAAAGAAUAGUGAGUGGAAGAAGAUGGAAAAUUUGAUUUUUAAAAUUCAAAAUUUGAUGUUUACAUUUUUUUAAAUUCAUCCCUAUGAAUUUUCGUUUUUGAUUUUAGUCCCUCUCAUACCAUUUCAUCAACGUUUGCCAACUUAAAACCUGCCACGUAGGCCUCCGUUAGCCACCAAAACGUUUUUGUUGACGGCAUAGACCUUUUUCAAAAGGUUAUCAAAAUACAGGUUUAUUUUAGAACAAAAACACUUACAUGGACCUAUAUUAAUUUCACCAAAACAUAUAAACUCCCUGUCUAAUCACUAUUAUAACAGAAAUUCGUUAAAUACAAUUAAUUCUUUAAAUUUAAUGUAAAAAAACAUAAGUCAAAUUUACUAAAUUGUAAUUUUUACUUUUAAAUAAAAACCUGCUUCAACUGCGUUAAAUGUUUUUUAAUUAAAGAAAAGGUAUAUAAAAAAAGUAGUAAAAAUACAGGCAAAAGAGAAAGUAGUAUAUUUUUGUAACAGUGACCAAUUAUUAUUUUUUUUUUUAUAACUGUGACAAAAUGGAGUGAUGUCAAAAAAAUGUCACAUACUAAAUACCAGACUUUGUUAAACAUAAAAAAAUGUCAAAGGUUAACACAUUGAAACUUAAAUGACUAAAUUGAAAAGGAAAAAGAGAAAAAAAGAUGACUAGAUAUUACAAUUCGUAUGAAAUGUACCAAUUAUCAGAUCUCUAUUAUUUUCAUUGAACUGAAACAGAACUCCUUUCAUGUACCCAAAAAAAAAUAUAACUCAUUUCAUACAUUGAACUUAGUCACAAACAUACAACAAUUCAAUCCAAUAUCAACAAAAAUCAAUCAGAUUGAUGUUAUCAUGCUCAAAAAUGAAAACUACUUGUGUCACUAUAUAUUAACAUCACAAGGCCACAACACUUGGUAUCUAGAAUGAUGUCUUCAAACUCCUUAUCCUCUUCAUAGUACCAUUGAGCAAAUAGACAACAACAACAUUAAUCUAAUUGGGGCACAAUACAAUUUAAUGCAGGCAUACCAAUCAAAUUAUUUGAUUCAAUUUCCAAAUGUACAAAAGAAAAAAACCUCAAAAGGGGAAAUUAAACCAAAUAAUUUGACUAGUAUGCCUGCAUUAAAUUAUAUUGCACCCCAAUUAGAUUAAUGUUGUUGUUGUCUACUUGCUUAAUGGUACCGAUGAAAAUGGUAGAUCACAUUUGGAUGCAUCAACUUCUAACAGCUGGACUUCUGCUUCUGAAUAUGAAACAGCGAGACUCAAAGCCAUGCUCAGACCUACAGCAAGAGCUACCAAGGAUAAAUCAACCGCUCUUGGUACAAAUUAUCUUCAGGAAAGAUUAGACCAACCAAAAAAAAUAUCUGGAGUCAGUACCAGAACUCAUGAAUAAUACCUGCACUUCAAUCAGCUCAAGGUAUUCUUGCAUAAAUAAAUGUAAGGCAACAGCAUUUCCUUUGCACAGGUUGCAGAAAGUGAUGGAGAAAGUGCAAAACAUACAUCUUGUGUCACAUUAACACCCCAAUUAAGACACCUAAACAUAUAUAGAGAAGCUAGAAAGCUAGUGUUGAAUGGGCAGAAUGCACUUGUCCCUUACAAUCAGCAAACUGGAUUCAUGAAUAUGGCAUCAUCAUUCCCUUCAAGUAUAAACAGUCAUGGGGUUGAUGGAACAGAUGAAGACAAGGCCAAAUGGUGGGAAAAUGAAUGAAAUGUUUUCCAAAGAAGAGCAGAAUCAUUGAUUACACGGAUGCAUCUUGAUCAAGGAGACAGACGCUUUUCGCGAUGAGAGGAUCAUGGUGGAUUCAGUGGUAGAGUUUUUCUCACUCAAUGUCUCAGACCAUCUUUCCAGUUCUGCAUUCAUGUCCCUUGUUGCUCGAUUUCCCCUAAAGUCAAGCUGCAGGGGACAUGAACGCAGAACUGGAAAGUUGGUGAAUUUGUUGAAAAACCAGAAAAAUAUUGAACCUCCACUUGAACAGUGUGCAAAUCAAUCAGGAAUCUCUAUUCCUGGCAAAUAAAGCAUCUUGUUUCCAGCUUCAAUCAUUUCCUGUCAGUCAUAAAUUUAGAAACUGUUACAAGUUAAUCUAGCAUUUUGAGACAUUGAUAGGAAUUGAUACACAUUUGAUAGGAACCGAUACUAAUGAUAUCAGAGAACGUGAAGACUUCAAUUUCGCAAAAAUUUGAGAAAUGUCAAGAAACUUAUAACGGUUAUUGUGGAAAUGAUAAAAAACCUUUAAAUAGCAUCAAGUCUGAUAAUGACACUCUUCGAUAAUUUUCUGAAAUAAUUUGCAUGUAAUUUCUGAAAAUGACACUCUUUGAUGCACACAUGAAGAAUGGUGAAAUAAUUCCCCAGAAAGUCUGAUAAAACAUUUGAGGAUCAAGAAAGACCACAACCAGCCAUUGAUGUUUUAGUUGCAAAGAUGCGUGCAUCACUUGCAAAAAAGAAACGAGUAAAAAGAGAAGUACUCCAAUCAGUUCAGCGUAUUCUUGCAUAAAUGAAAUGCAAGAACAUAUGCCCUUCACAACUCAUAAGGUGUUGCUUGAGGAGAGUGGUGGAAAAACAUACAUACUAUGGACACAUUAACACAGCAAUUUAGACACCUAAACAUAUAUAGAGAAGCUAGAAAGCUCGUGUUGUAUGAGCAGAAUGCACUUGUCCCUUACAACCGGGAAAAUGAAAAACACAAGUGCAAAGUUCAUGAAUAAAGUUUGGAAGAAACAGACAUGAGCUAAAGUUAAUCUUGAUGAGGAAACUUAUAAAGUUUGGAAGCUUCUGAUGUUGGAUAUAAACAGUGAAGGGGUUGAUGGAACAGAUAAAGACAAUGCCAAAAGGUGGGAAAAUGAACUAUUUCCUAAGGACAAGCAGAAUCAUUUAUUGCACGGAUGCAUCUUGUUCAAGAGACAGACACUCUUUUGUGAUAGAAAGGAAUAGUAGUGGAUUCAGUGGUUGAAGUUUUUCUUGCUCAAAUUGUCUCAGACCAUCUUCCUAGCCCAGCAUUAAUGUCCAUGCUUGAUUUCCCUUAAAUUCAAGCAGCAAAACAUAAAGGCGGAACUAGAAAGAUGGUGAAUUUGUAGCAAAACCGUAAAGAUAUUGAACCCCCACUUGUACGGUGUGCAAACCAAUCUGCAAUCUUCGUUCCUGGCAAAGAAAACAUCUUGUUUUUAGCUUCGAUCGUUUCCUCUAUCAGUCAUAAGUUUAGAAACUGUUAAAAGUUAAUCUAUGAGUUUGAGACAUCGGUAGGAAUUGAUACACACUUGAUAGAAACUGAUAUUAAUGAUAUCAGAAAAACUGAAGACUUCAAUCUAGAAAAAUGUUACGAAAUGUCUAGAAACUUAUAAACGGUUAUUGUGGCAAUGAUAAAAGCUCUUCAAUAGCAUCAAGCCAAUAAGUUCCAUUAACCAAUCUUGCUCUCUUCGGUCGCAUUAAUUCAACAAAGUUGAACAGUCAUCAACUUGGAAAUCUCUCUCUCAAUGAAAAACUGCUCUGUGUGAUGAAGCAAGGACACUCCUUGGAUUAGGCGUGUCCCGGAGUCGGACACCGACACUUAUAAUUACACUGAAAUAUGUAAUUUUCUCAAAUUAUUAGCGGUGUCGGUGUGUCUGAGUCCGUGUCCGGUGUCCGUGCUUCAACAGUUAUUACCUGGACUCAAGUUGUAAAGACAAAACAAACAAUCUUAUGCAGAAUAAUACUAUUAUACAAACUAAUUCAAGUUAAUGUUCCUUAAUAAAUUUACAAACUCUAAAAUUAUACAGGCUAUAUAAUGUACUGCAUGUCAAAUCUUGCUGUGGAAAUGUGUCAUUAACAUGCAUGCAAUCAACAACUAAGACAUUUAAUUUUAUUUUACAAAUAAAUAAAAAACUUGCUUUUCAAGUUAUUAAUUUUGCUAGAACAAAAAAAGCAUCAUCAUCAAUUAACUAAGCAAAGCAAUAAAACUGUAAACACAACAAAAAUUAGUUCGAUAAAAAAAAAAAAAAAAAAAAAGGAAAUAAUACCUUUAACAAGAUCAACUUGUGAAACAUCAAGUUGGUAAAAGUAACUGUAAACUUCAUUUUGAAACAUGCAGAAACGGUUUUCGGGUACCCAUUUGCUCUGACGACGAGAGACAGUGUGGUCGUCAGUGUUGAAAAAACGAUCUGGUCCAAACAGAGCUUUGUCACCGCUUCGCAGAUUCAAACCACCUUCAUCAACAUCUUCCUGUUGUCUAUUGUUGGUGGUGGUCGGUGAAAGGUAAAUAGUAAAUACCUAACAUCGGCACCGGCACCGUCACCACCGCCGCAUAGAUAGCGGUGCUAGGUUUUCUAAACAUUUCUAUUUUGGCCCUUUAUGACAAAAUGGUGAGUUAUUUAUAAUAGUGUUAUUUAUAAUAGUAUCAAGUAUAAGCAUCAAAGAAAUUGUAUUUAAGUUUUCUCUUUUUUUUAUUUCAAUAAAUAUACUUAUUUUUCUCGUUUUAAUUUUCUAAACUUUUGUUAAACUAAACUUUAUUCAUCACUUUUUAUCUCCAUUUUUCAACAUAUAUUCAGUCUUCAUAAUCUUUUUAAUGAAAUUUAUAUGUAGAAUAUUUUAACAAUCUCUAAUUUUUUUUUUAAUUUUUAACAAAAUAUAAAUAUUUUAACAUCAAAAACAUAAAAUUCAUGUUGUUUAAAAAUUAUAUAUUUUUGUUAAAGAUUGUUAUAAUAUUUUACUCAUUUUUAAAAAAAAAAAAAAUCAUUAAAAAAUAUAAAAAUUAGACAUAAACUAUCCAAAAACGAUGAGGAAAAACUUUAAAGACUGAAAACCAAACAAAAAUUUAUAUAUUUAUGAAGGAAAAAAAAAUUUAAUCUUUUAUUAUUUUAUAUUCAUUUGUAAUCUCUUGCAAGUUGCACCGUUUUGUUUUUGUUUAAUAUUACGUAUAUUUUUUUCAUUUAACCUCUUCCACCGUUCCUUCCUAUCUCAUUUAAUGAGGAAAUUAUAGAGUUUAUUGGAGAACUCUCAAAUUCCUUAUGCUUACACUUACACCAUAAAACUGAAAUUAGCAUUAAUUAACUGGUUUAAUUCUUAUGCGUUAGAUAUACUUUUUCAUUCUUUUUUUGAGGGGACGUUAGGUGUACUUAAAAAUAAAAUAAUUUGCUACUAUAAGUUAGGAUAUACGAGUUUCAAUUAAGACUUUAUUUGAUAAAAGUAAUAUAUAACCGAUAAACUUGCAUAUAAUUUAUAACUGAUAGUUUAUAGAUUAUAAUAUAUAGUUGAAAAUUAACGACCGGUGAUGAUUGUUAGUUGAUAAACUAAUUAUACAGUUUGAUAAAAUUAGUAGUUCAACUAAUUGAUGUAUAUAAAAUGAUAUAAAAUAAUGCUUUUGAUUCAUAAUCAAAUAGAGUUUAAUGGUGAUGGGUUGACAACAGACAACCAAUCAAAACAUUCUGAAUCGCCACAUCAAUUAAUUUUUUAAUUUAAAUAUCAAUUUAGAAUGUUUUGAUUAGUUGUGUGUGCAAAAUUGUUUUGAACGGUCAACCCACCAUCAUUAAACUCUGAUAAAAUUUAUAUCAAUCAAUAUUUUAGAUAUUUGCUAAUUUAAAUUCUUUAAUUGAACAUAUAUUUAAUACAUUAUAUACUCUCUUGGCUUAAAUGCACUCUCUUGGGUGGGGCGAGGAUGUUUAGGCUUUAAAGAGGAGGUGAAAGUUAUUUGCUUGAGAGGUAAGAUUUUAAUUAAGCUAAAUUACAUUUUUGGACUGUUUAAUUGGUAUCGGAUUGGUCCUCUAACUAAAAAUUGAUUUAUUUCGGUUCUCUAAGUUUCUCACUAUUACUACAUUUAGUCUUUUCUGUUAGUUUUAUUCAAAUAAACGUUAGGGUUUGUGUUAUGUGGACUCAGGGGACUCGAACCUGCACCAUCCACACCAAUUUUAAGCAAAUCAAACUACCAGAACCCUUAACAUUUUUUGCUUAUUCUUGAAUCAUUUUAGUAUAUAUUCCAUAAUAGUUCGGCACCCCCAAGAAAAUAAGUCAAGAUCCGCCACUAGCAUUAACAUUGGCAUGGUAUCUCUAAUUGGCUUGGUUUCAUUACGGUACACCAUGAACUUGUGGCAUAUCGCUUUCUUUAAUUUGGAAAUUUAGGAGGUUAAACAAAAAACAUCCGCUCAACUUUUCAACUCAUUUGACUCUCAUGUGUGUCGAUGAUUUGGUGUGAAAGAAAUGUUCACAUUUUUUGUCAAAAUGAUGAAUCGUUAUAACAACUUUUCGAGAAAAUUAAGCUUCAAUCUUAUUGGUGACAGCAAAUGAAUUGCACUAAUUUUACUUUUAACUAUCAUUUGUGAUGGCUUAACCCGAUAACUUGUUUGAGAUUCACCUUGUAACGGGGUUGCUUUGUCCUCAUUUUUUUUUUUUUUGUGGUGCUUUGUCCUCAUUUCUAUUUCGAGUUUGCUAUAUCUUUUGAUGUAAUUUGACUUUGCUUCCUCGUUUUUAAGCAAUCCUUGUGCUGGAAAUACCAGGUUCUUAGUUAUUAGUAUAAUUCAUUUUAAUUUCUUACAAAAAUAUAUAUUGUUAAAAAAUUAAAGUAUAAAGUUUUGUUUUGAAUUUAUUUCAUUUCAAAUAUAUAAAAAAAAAUUAACUUAAUAUAAAUAUUUUCGGUAAAGUUUUAUUUUAAAAUUAUCUCAUUUCCAUCUCAGCAUCAAGGUUCUUCACUAUCACGAGUCCACUCGUCAUCCUCGUUGUUUACUGCAAAUAUUUUUUUCGAUUUCCCUACAUUUUCUCCUCAAAAUCAUCCUCAUCAUUCCCUGCUUUCUUUGCUAGGCUCCUCGAGGAACCACUCUUAAUUCUCCACAUUCCCGAUUAUGUCCUUUCGAUUUUAGUCAAACUCGUGUCUCACAAAACCAAAUUCUGCAUUUUCAAAAUUGAAGUAUUUUAAAAGUAUUCAAAAAGGUACCAAUGUAAUUUCAAGAUACAAAUUUGGCAUAAAUAUAACCAUCCAGUAAACAACUCUGUUAACAGAACUGAAUUAUACCACCAUUGGAAGGUUAUAGCGGUACUUACAUAUAAUUGAAUAUACUCAUCUUACCUCAAAAUACCAAAAGUCACACUUUAAAUUACACACAUGAUAAAAUCUUUCUCUGAUAGAAAAUUGUCGACAAGAAUUCAACAAAGUAUAAAAGUUAAAAAAUACUUCAUCUUCCAUAUUAUAACUUAUGACAUAAAUAAAAUGUCGAUUAUAUGUACAAAGUGUAGGCCUACCCAAACAGAUAACAUAAACAUUUAAAACAACACAAUGGAUCCAACCUCUAGUUAAUUCUAACAAACACUAAUCAAAUGUGUACAUACUAGUGAAUGGAUUGACCGUUAAUACGAAACGAUUCAACAAAUAACAACUCCUUGCAAUAACAAUAAGCAAAGGAACUCAUUCAAGUUAAGCCUAUCAAUCCAACAUCGAACAAGAGAAUGUUGAUGAUAUCACAACUAAUCCAAAAUCAAUCACGAGUACUAAUACAAAUGUUAAGACGACGUCGACGCAUUGGAGGCGAACCCAAAAUCUAGAAACCUGCGGAUCUCAACACAUAUAGACAAUGACUUGUUAGAAAAAACACAAUAUAGACAACGAUCAAAGAGUCUAGAAAUGCUAACGCUAACCAGGCAUGAGGCAACAACCAUUUAACAGACCCAUUAUGUUUUUUUAGAACCAAAACCAACAUCUGCACCGAGACAUUGAAGGUACCCAUAUCCAUCAACCAACCCACCGAAUCCUUGGAUAAGCUUUGAAGGCCGAACCACUAUCGAGAGAACCAGAGAUGGAGACAUUUGCAAAUAUGAUAGAAACAAAGAAAUCCGCGACAACAAAGCAAACCAUCUGUCGGCCGUGUAACUACGAUCCCAACAAAAAGCUUUGUGUAAGGAGGUGGUACAACAACGAACAUCCACGUUUUUUUUUUUGAAAGGUCUUAUCCUAUUAUUAUUGACAAGUCAGCCUUUAUAUAUUUUUUAUUUUAC
rnacentral:lncRNA from 1 species